rnacentral:lncRNA from 1 species
GGACAACAACGCAUCAGAGAAGGGCAACGAGAAAUAAGACAAAAGUUUGAAGAGAUAGGAUCUGAAUGCCGCAGGCUCAAAGAGGAGACGAUGAACAUAGCCAAGCAGAGUGAUUACAACCAAAUCAGGAUAAACCUAAUGUUUAGCAUCUUGAAAGCCCGUGAGGACAACAACUUUGCCCAUGCUGAUCACCUUACUGGGCUCCUCCGGUUGGUUGAAUUCCCUUCGCCAUUUCUUUUCUUGAUUCUUGGGAUUCCGGAUUUCAUAAUUAAUCUUGCUAAUGCUAGCUAUUACAAGGAGGGAAACAUAAGUUAACGAACUCAAAAUAAAAGAAUCAAAAUGCACUGUUGAUAAUUAUUUUUCUCUCAAUAAUUGUGUUUCCUAUUCGUUGUGUUGGCAGCAAGGAAAUGGAAAAGCAGGAACAAGGAAAGGCAGGCCUGGUUGGCUGACUAAUGAUCAUGGAAAACGACGAGCAGUUUGCCUUUGCAGUGACUCCUGAUCGUCUUUUCUUAUUAAAAUGAAACCAUCAGUCCUAAAUCUAGAUAUGUAUCGACAUUAGUCUUCCCUUUAUCCUUCUUCCUUUGAUGAAGUAUUCAUUUGAUUAAGGAUUUGCGUUCUCUUUCCGAAUUGAAUGUUUUGAGUUAUAGUACAUACUAUGUGAAUUGCCGGGCGAUGCCACCGAUUGUUAUAUAAACGGUAUAAGCAUUCGGUUGAGUAUAACCUGAGGUAAUCGAAGAAGAAGAUAGGCAGACAUAAUUAAACAAAAUGAAAAAAAAAAAUAAAUUUACUAGAAGUAUUGAGGUUAAGCAAUGCAACCACAAGCUUUAUGUUAGAGAAACGUAAAUUCUUAACUAGCCUGUUUAGCUUUGCAGUAUUCGGUUGUUUUUAUUUAUUUUGAUUUUGUUUUUUAAGAUUUAUUUUUCUUAUUAAUUUUAAAAUAAAUAAAUAAAUCAUUUUUUUUUACCAAAAAAAAGGGUGUUGCUUCAAUAACAAAUAGUGAAAAAGUCUCAAAUACAAAGCCAAAAGUACAUAAUAAAUUAUAAUUAACUUGAAGAUGUCAUUCAAUUAAUUAGAUUUUUAAUUUGUUUUAAAGAGAUUAUUAGUUCGAGUAUUAUAAAUCUAAAAGCUAUUAUAAAUUGAUUGUUAAUUUUAGAGCCUUUGGUAUAUAUAAACCCCCUUAAAUAUUUAUAAUUAUCAAAAUAAUAAUAAAGAAAGAAAGAAAGAGCUACAGACUUUUUGAUCUCAUUUCACUUUGAAUUCCAGUGAGAUUGAUAUUUUCUUUUGAAAAAAAAAACUUGUUUAACUUUGUCUCAGGUGUAGAAAGGUGUUUUCAAUGGGAUUUAUUAGUAAUUAUUAUUUUUAAUAGGGACAAGUUAGUUUGUUUGCGUUUUCAAUAAAAUGUAAUGAUUUAAACACUUUUAAAAGUAAGAAAAAUUAAAACUAGUAGGAAUAGUUUUAUGGUUUUAUAGUAAAAGAAUGAUAUUGCCCUUAAAACAAAUAUGAUAAAACUUGUAUUCAGAGUCAUUUAGAUCUUUUCAAUACAGUUAUUUUGUAAUUAUAUAUUUGGAUUAAAAACAAUUAAAUCUUUAAUUAUAUAUAUAUAAAUAAUUAAUAUAUGUCACAUACAUGUUAGCAAGUGGAAGGCGCUCAUGCUCUUAAGAUGAUGUGUGCCUCCCCUAACAAUGGUUAAAAGUUGUGUCAACAAUGAUGUUUGAAACGAUGGGUCAUUCUCUUUGCGAUGGUGGGAUGCUUGUUUACGAAUGAAGUGUGGUUGAGCUCCUUAUGAACAUUUUUCUUUUCUUGUCUUUUCUCUUUUUUUUAGUCUAGAAAUUGAUGCCAACUCUUUUAAAAAUUUAUUGUGUUCUCUUGUUUGUAUUUUUAUUAAUUUUGAUUAUCAUUUUUUUGAUCAUCAUUUAUUUUUACUUUUAAUGCAUUUUGAUCUUUAAUUGAUUUGCAAUUUCAUCCAUAAGAAUUUUAUUUCAUUUAAUUUUUAUAUGAAAUUUGAUCCUUAUUAUUUUAUUUCUAUUUUUUUUAUAUACUUAUCUAGAUUUUGUUUUUCAAUUUUGCCUCUCAUAAUUUUAUUUUAUUUAAUUUUUUCAUUCAAUUUUAAUCUUUAUUUUUUUAUUGCUAUUUUUUUAAUUUUUUUCAUUUAGCUUUUAUGCUAGAUUUAGUCAUUGUUGUUUCGAUUACUAUUUAUUUUGGUUUUUAAUUUUGGAUGAUUAAGGAUUAUGCUUAGUGAUUUUUUAUUGUUUGCCUUUAAUGAGAUAAUCUUGAUCUUAUGAACCGGGUCACUAUUUCAAGGAUUAAUCCGAUUUAACUUUGGUUUUUUUUUUUUUAAACAAAAUAAUUACUUUUUAAUUUCAUCAUUUGAUUUUAGGUUAUUAGGUCUAAAUUCCCCCCCCCUUUAUGUGGUGUUAUUCCGGUGUUAUAUCUUAGGUUGAGUUUUUUUUGAGAUAACUCAGGUUUUUUUUAAUUUUUUUAAUUUAGUUUUUUUUAUUUAAUUUUUUAAUAUUAAGUUAUUAAACCUUGAAAUUUAUAUUUUGUUCUAUAUAUUUUUUUUAUAAAUUUAACAUGAUCUCGAGGUCAUUUUUUUUUAUAAAAAAAUUAAUUUUUUUAAUCUGGAACUCCCAUCACGGGUCGCAUGGUAGUCCAACUAAUCUGAGUUAAGUUAAAGUUUUUUCAAUUUGUUUUUUUUUUUUUUUUACCAGUCGCACGCACUGUGUAGCGUAAAACUAAAAGUUGUAUCAGAAGAAAUGUGCAGGACAUGUGUAGGUCGGCUAAUGCUGGCCAUAAAUAGCCAUGUCUGUGAAGCUAUGCAGGUGUGCUAGUGGAGACAGAAACACUUAUGCAGAAAAGUGUGACGUAUGUUCCGGUAGUUCCAAAAAGAAUCAGAUAAAUAGUUGAGAAAUUUAAUAUUUUAAACUUGUUUUAUGGAAACAUGAUAUUUCAAAAAUAUAUUUGUUAAAUGACUUCACAAUUUACGAUGACGAGAGAAAAAUAAAAUAAAUACUUUAAUUAUACAUCAAAUCUAUCAUAAAAAAAACUCGACCAUGUGAAUCAAAUAAAAUUAAAGAAGUUCACCAAGUAGAUCACACUCAUUGAAGCUCUAAUUAUAAUAUUACUAGUAGCAUUAUAAAGUUCUGGACAAAAUAAAUCAAAUAUAAACAAUAAAGAUAAUCAAUGAUAAUGAUAAUUGAAGUGGGUCAUAUAUAAUAGGCGGAAAACAUGGUGAAAUCUAGGGUUAAGAUUAAAAAAGAUGAAAGGGAAGCUGAAGAUGAAGAUGAAGUACAACAAUCAGAUUAGCGAGAAGAACAUGCAUGAAAGUUCUGGAUGGAGAAUUAUCGUAUUCUGGAGAUAAUAUAAUUGCACUAGCACCUGCUGUUCUUGCCAGCAUUUAUAGAGAUAUGAAUUUGUUGAAAGGGAAAAUCGCUGAGUCAGCCUUGUUGCGGAUUCCAAAGGGAAUACGUGAUGGUUUAAAAGUUAAGCUCUGGUCAUCAAUGCAAUUAGUUGAGGUUCGGUGAACUGCGGCGGCCGGAGCCUAAUCUGAUUAGGAGUGGGUACCCUAGGUUGGUUCGGUGGAACAAAUUGAAACUGGAAGUUGAGAAUGUUUCGUUGGUUCUAGACUCGGAUAAAGAGAGUUUUAGCUCUGGAAAACUGGGAUUUCCUCAAGUUUUAUGGAGAAAAAGAAAUGAGGGCCGGCGACUGUUGGUUCUAGUUUGAACGACGCUUUAAUGGCAUUUGCUCGACGCGUCAGGAUUUCAAUGCUGCGUGGAGGUGGCUGUUCAGAACAGUAUUUACCGCAUAGGGUUGCAAUGCAAUUCGGAACCGACGAAGAUCUUUCAGGGUUGUGUUGGUCAGUGCUCCAAUUAACAGACCUGAGAUUGCAUAGAGGUUAAAGCUUUUGUUGAAGAGCUUGAACAGAUGAUCACACGAAUAAAAGCAGCAAGAUUAAGACAAAAAUUGUUAACCUAGCUAGCCUUCUUCGUGAGAACGAUUUGCUUGAUUUUAUUUUAUUUGAAUUCAUGGCUUCUCUUCUCCUGUUGGCUAUGCUACUAACAUGGCAGUGGGCAUUGCAGCAGGUUCCUAUAUGGAUAACUCCCACCAUUGACAACAGAUGAGAACAAGUUUAAAAGGAUUAAAGAAAUAAAAAUAUUCAUAUUGUAACCAUGCACUCUGGCAUGAAGUUAUUAUCAUUUAUCACAGUGUGCAGACAAAUGCUGUGUGCUGCUGGACCCAACGCAGAGUCUACUAGGCGUUAUCUGUUCUGUCCACCUAAUUCUGACUAGAUAAGCACUUGAGAGUUUUUUAUUUAUUUUAUCCAGUUGAUUUGUAGUGUUGUUUUGAUAUAAAGUUUUUAAGGAAGAGAUAUCUUUCUUUAAUAUUAAAAUCAAUUUGAUAUUUGUAUUUUUGUUAAUCAUUUUAUUUUUUUAAAAUAUCUUUUAUUUGUUUGUAUAAUAGUUUAAAUAAAAGCAAUAGAAACUACUAGAAUUCAGCAUUAAUUAAAUAUUGUGAUGAUGUUUGAUUUAUAUUGUGAUAACUUUAUAAAUAUCAAAUUCAAACAAAUUAUGAUGACUAAUUUAAAAUUAAUUAAAUAUUAAAAGAGUUUUUUAAUAUUAAAAUGAUGAUAUAUUAAAUCAAUCUAAAAUUUAUGGUUUAAUUUGUAAAACCCGUAAUUUGAAUCAUGAAUUCUAUUUGAAAAAAAAAAAUAAGGUUGUUACGAUGAUAAAGCAUAAACAACAAUAAUAAUUCAAGAUUUUGACUAAAAAUAAAAUUCAUUAUACAUGUGUGUUGAUUAUUGAGUUAUAACCAGUCCAUAUAUGAAAAUGAAUGAAUUUAGCAAAGUUAUUAAACUCAAUCGACCUAGUGGUUGGAACUGGUCUGAGUUUGUUAAAAGAUCAGCCAGUGCAAUGACCAGACAAAACCUGGUCGACCCAUGAUCAGGAUGAGACCCGUCGUUUUUUUUUCAAAUAUGAUUUUUCUUUUAUAACCCUUUUUUUCAUUUUUUUUAGUUGGUUAUUAACACUUUUUAAAGUUCACUAUAUAAAUACAAGAAAAAUAUUUUAUUUUUUUAAUGUGGAAUUUGAAACCCUUUAGUAUAUACUCUAUGUUUCUAAGAAAAAAAUUAUUUUUUUAAUGUGGAAUUUCAAGUCUUUUCAUAUAUAUACUUUAUGUUCAUAAAAAAAAAGUUGUUUUUUCAAUAUGUAAUUUGAAGUUCUUUCGUAUAUAUACUCUAUGUUCACAAGAAAAAUGUUAUGUUUUUUCAAUGUGGGAUAACAAACGUUUUGGUUUAAAUACUUUAACUUAAAAUGAUGAUAUAAUAUCUUUUCAAUGUGAGAUUUGAAGCCUUUUAAUAUAUAUAUAUAUAUAUAUAUAUAUAUAUAUAUAUAUAUAUAUAUAUAUAUAUAUAUCUAUGUUUCUAAGAAAAAAAUUAUUUUUUUAAUGUAGGAUUUGAAACUCUUUUGUGUGUGUGUGUGUGUGUUCUAUUUUCACAAGAAAAAAAUUACGAAUUUUUCAAUGUAAAAUUUAAAACUUUUUAUUAUACUUUAUCUUUACAAAAAAGUAAAUUUAAAUUAAUCCAAUUAACCUGUCUACCUUUAGAGCUGAUUUAAUAAUUUUGGGAUGGAAGGAAUAUUUAAAAUAGUCUUAGAACAAGUCACAUUUGUUUGCUAUCGAUUUGAAAAGAGAAAGUUGCUCUCUCGUAAUGUCUACUUUUAAAAUCAAAAGAAUCCAACAGAAAACGGCAACCAUGACCAUGCCAAAAGGGCUUAAACAAAAGCUCUACAAGAUCAAUCCACGAAAGUUAAACUCAAUUGAAUCCAGAUUUGAAUGUGCUGGGCAAUGAAAGCCCACGAUUAUAUAAAAUAAAAAAAUAAAAUUCAAAGAGAGUACUGGAAUGCUUGACUAUAACUGUAAAACCAAGCCUAGUCCAAUAAAUCUAUGUAAAAAUCCGAUAAUUCAGAACCGAGAUUAAUUGCUAGCCCAGUUGAUGAUCAUUGUUGUAACCCAAUUUUAGAUUCACAAAGAUUUUCUUGAAUAUUAUUUUAUUUCUAUUAUUAUUCAUAAAAAUCCAAAAAAAAUUCAAAAAAAUUUAAAAUUCAAAAAAAUAUUUUUCUCGAGUCAACCGCAGGUCAAACCAUGUCGACCAGGGUAAAAAAAUGAGUUUCGGGCUGUUUCGGGUCAAAAACAUCAUUUGCGACCAAAAUCGGGUUCACCAGGUCAAUACGGGUCAUACCAUGUUGACCAGGGCAAAAAAUGAGUUUCGGGUUGUUUCAGGUCAAAACCGUCAUUUCUGACCAAAAACGAGUUCACCGGGUCAAUACGGGUCAAACCAUGUCGACCAGGGUAAAAAAUGAGUUUCGAACUGUUUCGGGUCAAAACCGUCAUUUCUGACCAAAACCGAGUUCACCGGGUCAAUACAGGUCAAACCAUGUCGACCAGGGUAAAAAAUAAGUUCCGGGCUAUCUCGGGUCAAAACCAUCAUUUUCGACCAAAACCCGGUUCAUCGGGUCGAUACCCAUCAAAUGUUUUUUUUGGUAUUCCAUUAUUUUUUUGCGGUUGAAACGGGAUUUUUCUAAUACUGAUUUGAACUUUUAGUUUUACCCAUGUAAAUAUUUAUUAUUAUAUAUAAUAAAACAAAAUUAUGGUAGUUGCCGACGGUGCAUUAUUUCUUAUUAUAUAUAAUAAAACAGAAUUUAAUGAGUUGUCCCGUGGCUAUAAAUAGCCACGGGAGCAGAGGGCAAAGGGGGAGGAAGAAAAGAAAAAAAAGAAAGAAUCGAUUGAUACUAUUAACAUUUUUUAGUUUUCUUCGCGAGAGUAGGAUAUUAUUUAAAAAAAAAAUAAUUUGAAAAAUACCAAAUAUAUCCCGACUCAUCUCAGCCAUUGAAUUAAUUCAAGAUUUAAUCCUGUUGCGCCACGUCAUCCGGUGCACCGAGCUUUCGGUGCACCGCGCCACACAGGAUCAAAAACCCGGACAAUCUGGGUCGUCCGAUCAACCUGCAGAUCUAGCCAAUCACAGCCAUCCGAUCGUUUCAUCCAAGAUCCAACGGUUAACAUCCUUCAGCGGCACCGGUACACCAUACGCGUCCUCACCGUAGCAAAUCUCAGAGCAUCUCUCUCCUCUCGCCGGCGACUCUCUCUCUCUCCUCCGAUCUCCACUCCGGCCAUCUCAGCCUCCGAACCACCACAGAAAGGUCGCCAAUCCCUGAAAGCAAAACCCCGGUGGUUUUAUCGUUUUCACCGCCUCAUCUGGCCGGAAAAAGGCCGCGAUCGCGCCGGCACCGAAGCUUCAAGUCGUCGAUUCUCCCUCGUCAGCCAUCAACGGCCGUCGAGACCACCACCAACAGAAUCCUCGACCUCAGAUCUACCAGAACCGACCAUCGGUUGGCCAGAAAUCUCGCCGCCACCAACAGUAGCCGCGCGUGAGCCACACGCGCCGCCAGUGGCAUUUUCGUAAAUUUCUGAUCCGAGGGUAUUUCAGUCUUUUACCUAUACUGUGUCACUUAGGUAAUUUUUUUUUAUUUUGUAUAUAAAUUUUCUUGCAUGUUGUAAAACAAAAAAAUAAAAAAAAAAUAACAACGCGGGUCCAAACCCAUCCUAUUAUGUUAUCGUUCGUGGGUCCAAAGCCCAAUUUCAAAUAGUUAUACCCAUUCUCAACGAUAUAAAAUAAUUUUAUUUAUAAACAAAUAUGUUCGUCGACACGUCUCUUUUUUAAAAAGGACCGAUGUCAAAAGUUUAAAUACCAAAUAUGGAUUAUGUCCAUAGUUUUUUUGGUAACUUAGACGUAAAUCUCCUUUUUAGGGUUAAACGUCAAUAUUUUAGACAAGUCUCCUAUUUUUAGGGACUGAUGUCAUUUUUUAACGUGUCUUCAAUUUUUAGGGACCGACGUUAACUAUUUUUUUAAAAAAACAAAAUUGCAAAUAAGCUCAAAAUAUAAUAGCAUUUAAAUCAAAUAAAAAAACACACAAGUAAGGGUAACAUUUCUUUUGAAAGGAUGUUUUAAGGGUGGUGUCUACCUUCCCUUAAUCAUAACUAACCCAAUACCCGAAUCUUUGGAACCAGUGUCUAAUUUGGGAUUUCUAGUUCCCUCAAAUUACUAGAUGGCGACUCCAAUAAAAUUUUCAUUUCCCCCAAUUAAACAAAUCUUUUUUUGUUAAAUAAACAAAAAUGAGCGGAGCUGUCGCCCGACGUCGUGUAUCGACAGAAUGAUAAUGAUAAUUGAAGUGGGUCAUAUAUAAUAAGCGGAAAACAUGGUGAAAUCUAGGGUUAAGAUUAAAAAAGAUGAAAGGGAAGCUGAAGAUGAAGAUGAAGUACAACAAUCAGAUUAGCGAGAAGAACAUGCAUGAAAGUUCUGGAUGGAGAAUUAUCGUAUUCUGGAGGUAAUAUAAUUGCACUAGCACCUGCUGUUCUUGCCAGCAUUUAUAGAGAUAUGAAUUUGUUGAAAGGGAAAAUCGCUGAGUCAGCCUUGUUGCGGAUUCCAAAGGGAAUACGUGAUGGUUUAAAAGUUAAGCUCUGGUCAUCAAUGCAAUUAGUUGAGGUUCGGUGAACUGCGGCGGCCGGAGCCUAAUCUGAUUAGGAGUGGGUACCCUAGGUUGGUUCGGUGGAACAAAUUGAAACUGGAAGUUGAGAAUGUUUCGUUGGUUCUAGACUCGGAUAAAAUUAAAGAAGUUCACCAAGUAGAUCACACUCAUUAAAGCUCUAAUUAUAAUAUUACUAGUAGCAUUAUAAAGUUCUGGACAAAAUAAAUCAAACAUAAACAAUAAAGAUAAUCAAUGAUAAUGAUAAUUGAAGUGGGUCAUAUAUAAUAGGCGGAAAACAUGGUGAAAUCUAGGGUUAAGAUUAAAAAAGAUGAUGGAAGGGAAGAUGAAGGUGAAGAUGAAGAACAACAAUCAGAUUAGCGAGAAGAACAGGCAUCAAAAUUCUGGAUGGAGAAGUUCCAGUUUUCCAGACUGCAACAGCAGAAAUGAUAAGACCACCUGCUAAGAAGGCCAGUAAUCUGUCCUCAAUGCUGUGUGGAGGUGGCUGUUCAGAACAGUAUUUACCGCAUAGGGUUGCAAUGCAAUUCGGAACCGACGAAGAUCUUUCAGGGUUGUGUUGGUCAGUGCUCUAAUUAACAGACCUGAGAUUGCAGAGAGCUUAAAGCUUUUGUUGAAGAGCUUGAGCAGAUGAUCACACGAAUAAAAGCAGCAAGAUUAAAACAAAAAUUGUUAACCUAGCUAGCCUUCUUCGUGAGAAAGAUUUGCUUGAUUUUAUUUUAAUUGAAUUCAUGGCUUCUCUUCUCCUGUUGGCAUUGCAGCAGGUUCCUAUAUGGAUAACUCCCGCCAUUGACAACAGAUGCAGAACAAGGUUAAAAGGAUAAUAGAAAUAAAACUUGAAUUAACUUAAUAGGUUAACUAGUGACUCAAAUGACUUCAAACUUGAAUUAAUCUUGUAUUAAUUAAUCUAGGUUAAGAAAAAAUAAAAAUAACUUGACAUCAUAUUUAGUACAUGUUUGGUAUUGUGAUAUAAAAUGUUUUUUUUUGUAAAUGUCUUUUGUUUACAAAUACAUCAAAAUAAUUUUUUAAAAGAUUUUUUUAUUUUUAUAAUAGUACAUCAAAAUUAUCAGAAAAACACUAAAAAUAUAUCAAUUUGAUGUUUUUAAAUAUAAACACAUAUUUAAAAAAUACCUAAAAACAAAAACUACCGCAUUUCCAUCCGAGCUAUUUAAAAAGCAAAGAGGGAACUUUUGAGAUGAAUAAAAUCAAGAAUUGCAAUUGCUAAAUUUUUUAAUGUGUUUUUGACGUGGAACACAUAAUAAAAGUAUUAUCUAAAAAUAAAUCAAGUGUAUCAAAUGACAUUUAUAACAAAAUCAGACCAUGACUUUUAAUUCAAUAAUUAAAUUUUAAUAAAAAAAACUUCUAUAACAUUUUAAAGGACUUAUUCUUUAUAGAAACAUCGACAAAACAUCAUUAAUGUUUGAUGUAUAGAGGUAUCAACUAUAACUUGAUGUCUUAUGAUGUAGAAAUAAAUAUCUUCUAGGGCACUAUAAAAGUUUUAAAGGUAGCAUAAAGAACCAUAAUAUAGAUAUUUGAUUAGCAAGAGAAUUCCAUAGCAAACUUAAUUGAGGGGAUGGAUCAACUACUAGGAGGAGGCAAAUAAAAAACUUGGAGAAGAGAGAGACGUGUUUAAAAACUUACCUCAAGGUGAACCAAACCCUAGAUCUAUUUCUACAAACUCAUAAAGACAUCAUGUCUAUUUAGAAAGUGAUUUGUACGAUGAACUAAAAACUUUGUCUAUAGCUAAACUUUCAUAGACACUUUUCUAAUUUUGAUGAAAUUCCUUUUGUUGAUAAGAAUUUUUCAAAAAAAAAAAAAAAAGGUUUUUUAGAUUAUUGUCAAAGUUAAAAGCUUACUUUUAUUUGAACAAGAUUUUUUAUUAUCAAAAUAAGGAUUUUCCAUACAUAAAUUUACUUAUUAAGUUGAAGGUUGGUGGUUCAAUCUUGUGGUUGAUGGAGCUUGUAUUGAUAAAUUUGUAAUUUCAUCAUAAAAAACUAUAAAAUAUAUUAAUUUUAGAGUUUGUACAAGAUGAAUAAAAAAAUAUUUUAUUUUGGUCAUAUAAUCACAAUCAAGUUAUUAUUACUUACCUUAUGUUCAACUUUCAACAAUAACACAAAAACAAAACAUGGAGGAGAACUAGCUUAAGGCUAAAAUUAUUUGAGUCAAUAAUAAGAAAUAGUUGAAAAACAAUUCAAUUUCUAUCUUGAACAUACUUAUUGUUCUUACUUUAUUGAUCAAUGUUGUUGGUAAUAGUGAAUUAAUUAUUUUAGCUAUAGUUUAUUUUUAAAGAAGUAGAAUAACCAAAAUUAUCACCAUCCUUGAGGAACAACAUGAAAGCAUAAAUAUAUUGAAAAACCAAAGUAACAUGAAGUAGAGGUAACAUUUCAAAGAACAAUAUGAAGAUAAAGAAUAUGUUGAAAUUAAACCAAUGAAUGAAAAGGUAGAAAAGUUACUAAUUUACUCAGGAAAUUAGAGUUAAAAUUAAAAAAAAAGAAAGAUAGAAAAAUAUUAUCUUCCUCCUGAAAUCACAAGAAAGUUUUGUCUAAAGGAUAAAAAGAAAGAGACUCAAAAAAUUUACUUUGUUAGCAUUUUAGUAAAUGAGGUUCAAUUUAUGAACAUGUUAAUUAUAAUGCUAAGUAUUUUAUGUUUUUUUUGGAAUGAAAGAUUUCAAUUUCUAAUUAUGAAACUAACAAACGAGUUCUUCUCAAGUAAAGAAGCUUGACACGAGAUGUGCAACAAAAGUCUUAACUUAAGAAGAAGUUUGGAUGUGUUAAAUGAUAUUUUUGACAAAAAAAAAUAGUUAUAAUUUUUUAUUCAAUUGUUGAAUCAAAUUAAAAUUUUAGAGAAUGUUCUAAGGCCUUGUUUCAUAAUAGGAAUAUCAAAGCAACAUCAUCCAAGUUUAGGAACAUGCCCACAUUAGAUAAAAAAAAAUAAAAAAAUGACAGGAGAUUUUUUUUAUUUUCCUAGUUGUUUUAGGAUUUUUUUUUUUAUGUAAAGUUUUAGAAUAUUAUUUGAUUCAUAUUUCUAUACCUAAGUUGGUGUUAUCUCUUGUUUAAACAUGUUAAAUAAUCCAAAUAUAUAAAGAAAAAUACAAAAAUAAGAGAGGAAAAGACUAAUAUUUCAUUGAUAUUUUAUAAUCACUAUAAUUUAAAGGAAUAAGUUUGAUUUAAAUACAAAAAAAUUAUAUAUAAACUAAAUUAAACUGAAAAGAAAAUAUUAUUUUACUUUCAAUAAAUAAAACAAAAUAACUUAUAUUUCUUAACAAAACAGUGGAAUUUUUCAUUAAAGAGGAUAUUGAUUAUUAAAAAAUUUAUUUAGAACUUUUAAGUUUUAGAGUUUUCUUUAUAAUUCAGAGAUAUAAUUUUAGGACUUGAAAAAAUUUAGUUUCUUUUUUAUAAAUAGUUUAUGGAUGUAAUUUUUAAUACUUGAGAAACAUUCUUCUCGAGAAGAAAAAAAGGAGAUAAAAAGUUAAGGGAUUGGACUGAUUGUGUUCUGGUGCUGAAGUCUAGAGUUUGGAGGUUCUGGGGAAAGGGUUUUGCUAAGGUUCAAGAGGAAAUGGGCAAAGCAAGGACAAAAGUGAGCAGAGUGCAUGCAGCUGGGAAUCGUGAAAAGGCACAACUUUCCUGGCACACCGGAAAAUCAAUAAUAAAUUAAUACAGGUUAGCUGCUAUCAAUUUGCGAAAUGCUCUUAGUAAUUUGAAACCUUUUUAUUGCAAAAUCGUCCUUGGCCCACAGGAAAUGUAUUUCAGUUUAGUGGUUUCUUGGUGAUUGAAGUGGUAACAAGAAGAAGCAACCGCCGACAACAAGAACACUGCUGCUGCCCUCCACUUUCCUUUUUCCCGCGAAUCCCUUUCGCUGUAUGUAGUGAACUGUUCACAAAGCUUGGACAGGGAGGCACUUGAGAAGCAACAAUGCUACAUGCCUAAUAGCUACUAGGUAAAGGAUGCUCUUACAGACGCCAUUUGAAGAAAAAAAAAGUUAAAGUUUUUUUAAAAACAAUCUCGUAAUCUUUUCAAAAGUUUACCCCUAACUGUGUUUCUUAUUGUAUUUAAGAUAAGAUUUGAUUAAGAAAUCCAUUGAAUUUCAGGCUAAAAGGCUAGAGAAUAGGAGUAUCCUUUUCUCUCUAAUCCUUUAUCCUUUGUGUGAUUGGAAAUGGAUCUGUACUAAUUAGUACCUUGCUAGAACUGACUUCACAGUGUAAACAUCAAGCUCCCAUCUUUUCUGUUCUUUCCAAACAAGAUCAUGACCUUGUGAACCAAAAACAGCAAAAGAGUCUGCCUAAUAUUUCCAAUUUCACAAUUUAAUGGGUCCAGUGACCUCACAGGAUCCUUCUAGCCUUUUCCACGAAUAAAAUUCUAACAAGCCUAUGCGAUUGCUUGUUGUUUGUUAACUGAUCCUAUAUCCACUGAUAAUGGCUAAGCAAGCAAAGAUUUUCACUAUCAGUUUGCUUCAUUCACACAGAAACUCAGCUAAGAACUGACUGAAACAUGAACCAUUGCACAAUGCUGGUACACUUUACAUGUAUCAUUACAGACAUACCAGCUACAAAACAUACAAUUAUAUCUGCAAAGAGACAGGUUGGCUCCUAACAAUUUUUGCUACUUAGUUCGUGCAAAAAGUAACUAAAACAUAAGCCAAAAGAGCUGUAGAACUCUAUAUAUCUACCUCACUCAGCAUGUUAAUUCUAUUUGUAUUAACUACAUUGUGAUAUUGUUGGUCAGACAAACCUUCUUCUGGCUAAAUUUAGCAGCCUUUAGCCCAUCAAUUUCUUUCCUAAGCUUGUCGAUCCGAGCUUCAAGUUCUAAUCCAUCUGUGUGAAUAUCAAAACGACUCCUACUUCCUCUUUCAUCAUCUUUGAGAAAACCUGCACCAUGGAGUACUGGACUAGGGCUAUCUAAUUUGUUUUUGCUGGAGUUUUCCGUGGUUGUGCUUUCUUUUCCACUCCUAGGUUCCUUCUGAAUGCUGCUUUCCUUCAAUUUCAUCUCUGCAUCAACAUUUGUAACAUCAUUGUUUUCUGCAGCAGAAGAUAAUAGAUUAUGUGUAGUAGCCGGCAAAGACUUGCGAUCACCAUAUAUUAUAUGAUCAACACUUUUGAGCUUUUUAUGAGUAAACAACUCCUUCAAUGUUAGAUCAUCCUCCUCAUCAGAGUCCAAGCCUUCAACAUGUUGACAUUUAGGAGGGUAACCAGGAGGAUACAGAGGAUCAUGAUCUGACUUCUUCCCUUUGAAACAUGGAACCGAAAUUUCUGAACCUUUUGGAUUUCCACUUCCAUCUUUCCCACCAAACACUGAUUGCUUCCACCAUUCCAAGUAUCUCAUAGUAACAUCUGGCUUGCAAUGUCUUGAUGGAAUAUAUAGCAUUGCAUUUUUUAUUUGCUUAUCAAAACGCCUCCAGGAAAGUUCUUGAGUUUCAUUUCUUCUCUUUACAGGACCUGGAAGAUCUUGAUCCAUGCCAAACUGCAUUGCCACUCGAUGCGGGCUGUACUGUUCUACACACCCUAUUCCAACUAAUUGACAUGCUCUCAAGCAUCGAGUAAAGGAUUUCAAUUCGUCAUCAGCAUCAACAUCAACAAGCACCCAUUUCUCUUCAUCACCAUAAAUUUUGUAGCACAAACUCUCCACGGCUGUGGCAUAAGGGCGCCACUGGAAACUUCCUUCAGAAUCUAGGGCCAAUCUUACAUUCCUAACGGUUGAACUAUUCACAUUAUGCCAUCUAGCUAAUCUCGGCACUUCCAAGUCAGUCACAUUAGGCUUUGGUUGCAAUUUUGGAAACCUCUCCCAGGCCCAAACCUGAACUAUAUGAAAUGGUGACCAAAUGGUGAGUUCUAACUUUUGAUCAUCAUUGUCAUCCUCAAAAGAAACUAAAUUGGACAAAGCUAGAAUCUUUUUCUUCAACAACCUCAAGUCUCGGUAAAUGCUUGCAAGAAGGGCAGGUCCAAGUGCAAUUUUGAUACCUCUAGCUAGACAAACAGCAAUUGGAAAAACAUGUUUGGGAAUGCUCAUAUUUGGGACACUGGGAAAAACAAACCUCGACAACCAUAGUGACAGAAAAGCCUCGUGCUCGACUUCGCUGUUGUUUUCCAUGAGAUAUUUAAUCCAGGAAGAAUGGUCAACUUUUUUGCUUUUUGACCGCCUCAACAGUUCUCGGAUUUCCAUUAGCUUUUGUUCAGCUUCAUGCAAUUCCUCUGUUUCAAGAGGGGUAAAAACAGGGGACCCCAAAACAGAGUACCCUGCAACCAAAAUAUCUUCCAAGGUGAUUGUUGCUUCACCCCAAGGAAAAAUGAAUGUGUUAGUUUCAAAACACCAUUUCUCUGCUAACCCAAUAAGGAAAUCAUCGUCUCUUCCGAUUUGGUAAAGAGAACUCAUGACUGCUUGAUAGAUUCCAACUUUUCUCCAUGUUGCUUCAUGCAAAGCAGCCAUUUUAUCAACCCAUUCUUUCCACCUCCUUUGUGCAUAUCUCCAACCAUGGAAUGUUAUUCUUAAAGGCCACUUUUUGGGUUCAAAGUUAGAGGGCAAGGAGAAGUUGUAGUGUGAAGGGUGUUUGGGAGUGUUUUCAUCUAUGGAAGAGGUUAUUGAGGGUUUGAUAAAAUGGGCUGUUCUAAGUGUUGGCUGUGCAUCGCCAGAGAGUGAAACCAUAAGUUCCUUUCUCGUUUCAACAAUGGGUCCUUCUGAUUUCUCCAUAGAAAAAAACGGUGAAGUUUCUUGCAGAGAAAGAGAAGGAGAGGUUCGGGCUUAGGGAGAGCCAAAGGUUGCUGACAUGAUUGUUUCGAACUAGCAAAGGAAGUUAAUGUGACGAUACAAUUUCAAGUAUUCAAAGCUUCCUCUAGAAUCUAUACCUUCACUACAUCUCUUCCAAAUAAUGUGUUAAAAAGAAUAAAAAUAAAGGCAGUAGAAAUGUCGAUAUAAAGUCAUGGCUCAUGAUUGCAUAAGGGAAUUAAUUUAAUUUUUGGAUGCGUAAGAAGUGGGGAGAGAACUUUAGAAAAUGGAUAAAAAGAGAUUCUGUUUAUUUUUUCUUUUUAAAAGUUUUUUUUAAAUAAUAUUUUUUAUUUUAAAUAAAAUUUUUAAAUAUUUUUACAUCGUUUCGAAGAAAAAAAGAGAAACAUUCAUUGGGAAGAAAAUAAAAGGAGCUAAAAAGUUUAGGGCUUGGACUCUGUGUUUCGGUGCGAAAGUCAAAGUUUGAGGUUUUUGUGGCAAGGGUUUGGACUGAAGAAAGCAAGGGUGGAAGCAGCUGGUAAUCGUGAAAAGGCAUAACUUUUCUGGCACACCGGAAAAUCAAUAAUAAAUUAAUACAGGUUAGCCCAUUUAUUUGACGUUUGAAGUAAUUUGAAACCUUUUUAUUGCAAAAUCGUCCUUCGCCCAUGGUGUGUACGCCGUUUUUAAAAUUGCAUUUGAGAGUGUUUUAAUUUGAAAAAGUGUUAUGUUAUUGUUUGGAGUUGAGUUUCAACUUGUUUUUAUUGAAGUUUGAAUUUUUUUUAUUUUAAAUUAAUUUUUUAAUAUUUUUUAAUUGUUUUCAAAUAUUGAUGUUAAAAAAAAUUUUAUUUUAAUAUAUUUUUAAAUAAAAAUUACUUAAAAAAACAACCACAAUCACAUUUUUAAAUACCUUCUAAGUGCCUGUUUGAGAAUGUUUCAAUCUGUGUUAUGAGAUUGUUUCAAUAUGUGUUAAAGUGUGUUUCAAAAAUAUAUUUGUCUUAAAAAAUAUUAAAAUUGAUAUUUUUUAAUUGAUAUUUUUUUAAUACUUUUCAAUAAUUUUGAUAUGUUGAUAUUAAAAAUAAAUAUAAAUCUAAAUUGAUAUUUUCAAUGUUUUCUGAUAAUUUUGAUAUAUUAAUAUAAAAAAUGAAAAAAUUAUUUUUAUUUAUUUCUAAAUAAAAAAAACUUUUGAAAAAUAAAUGCACCAUAAUAUCUUAUGUAUACUAAAUUGAUGUUUUUAAAAAUAUUUUUUAAUAAUUUUAAAAUACUGAUAUUAAAAAUAAAAAAAGUUAUUUUAUUAUAUUUGAAAAAAACUCCUAAAAAAUACAGGACAAAAACAUAAAAAUGGAUAGCAGCUUUGUUACAGAAAAUACUGCUCAUCCUUGCAGCACGUACAGUGUAGGAAACAACCAUUUUUCUGAUCCUUACACUGCAGAAGUAAAUAAAAACUUCAGACACUCUCUCCAUAGUUGUUGUCUUUAUUCCUUUUAACAUUUCAGUGUCUAUCAAUUUCUCGAUUCCUAGAACAAAACCUAGCUCUUUGCCUUUCCUUUGUGGAAAACGCCUUGAAGAGUUUCUGCAAUAAUUGGUUUCCUUCAUUCUCCCAGGAAACAAACAAACUUUGGGAUUCUUAUCAAUACAUAAUAGGUCCACUCACCAUUGUGAAAACCUCUUGAAACCCAUGAAUGGAAGAGGUGAAAGAAACCAUGCUCGAUGUUAGAGAAGAGCAAAUGGUGUCGUUCACUGGUGGCAGCAAACCAACUCUAAGAACAGCCCAUUUCCUCAAACCUACUGUGGCCACCAGUACAAGGUCAGUCCCCAAGCCCCCUACAUGUUCUCUAUCUUCUCUACCUUCAACUUUUGAGCCUAAAGAAUGGCCUCUGAAGAUAAACUUCAGUGGUUGGCAGAAGCCUAAACUGAACUGGGCAACAUGGGUUCAUAAGUUGAAAUUCAAGUAUCAGCCUUUAUGGAAGAAGGCUGGAAUUUAUGAAGCCAUCAUGCAUUCUACAUUCAUUGUUGUAAGAGACUAUGAUUUUAUCAUUGGACUUGCAGAGAAAUGGUGUCCUAAAACCAACACAUUUGUAUUUCCUUGGGGAGAAGCAACCAUCACCUUAGAGGACAUGAUCAUUUUGGGAGGGUACUCUGUUUUAGGCUCCCCCGUUUCUUCAUGCUCUGAUUAUGAAAGCAGAGAAUUGAAGGAAAUUGAAGAUAAACUAGCUGAAGCUGGGAGGAAUAUCAGCAGGGGUAAGGUUAUUAAGCCUUGCCAAUCUAAAUGGAUGGAGAAGUUCAUGGACAGCGGGAGUGAAAUCGAGCACGAAGCUUUUCUUUCACUUUGGCUGGCAAGGUAUGUUUUUCGAGAUUCUGAUAUUGUACUCAAGGGCCAUUUUUUUCCAAUAGCAAUUCAAAUGGCAAGAGGGGAACGUAUUGCACUUGCUCCAGCAGUUCUGGCUAGCAUUUAUAGAGACCUGAGUUUGUUGAAAGAAACAAUUGUUUUUACCACCAAGUUAGAGACUUUUGAGGAUGGUGUAUUGGCACUAACAAUUCGGUCACCGUUUCUGUUAGUCCAGAUUUGGGGUUGGGAGAGGUUUCCGAUGUUCCAACCGAAGCCCGUUUUCCUCAAGAAUGGUGAUCCCAGAUGUGCUUUAUGGGAUAGUGUGAAAGGUGUCAAAGUUGAGAAUGCAAGGCUGGCUUUGGAUUCAGCCGGGGAGGCUUUUCGAUGGCGGCCUUAUGCAAACCCAGGAGUAAGAGGUUGGCACUUCCCGGAGUUUUACAGAGAGAAAGGAGAAUGGCUAGACCUGGGAUCUAAUGAAGAUUUGUUGUCAUUUUCCCUAUGCUUGACAGUAUCCAAGAUGGAUGGUCUAGGCUGUUCAGAACUGUAUCUUCCUCAUCGUGCGGCAAUGCAAUUCGGAAUGGAUCAAGAUGUUCCUUCUCCUGUAGCUCGAUCAAAUGAAAGCUGCAAAUGUGCUUCGAAAAAUUACAUUAAGUCAUUUUCCAAUUCCAAAUUCUAUUUUCCACCUCGGUUAUUCGAGUCUGAUGUUACCAUUAGAUACUUGAACUGGUGGAGAGGGUCGGUGCAAGAGGUGACUAAGGAUGUGACUGAAGGUGUUGUGCGAAGGAAACGAAGUUUCCGAAAGAGAUCAAAUCGAGUUCCAUGGGUUUCAACAAAGAAUGAAGGCAAUGAUUUAGAUGUCCCCCCUGGUUUUCCUCCCAAAUCUGGCAGGAUGAAAGAAGGGGAUGUGGCUGAGAAUGAAAAAACAACUUUGGAGGAUAUAUUAAGAGACUGUAGCCUUCAUAACAGUUUAGACAGAAGGGAAGGUACAUCUGUUUAUACUUAUGGUCUCGCUCACAGUCCUUCAAUUGUAAAAACAGGCGGUGCAGGUUUUCGAAAGAUCGAGGCGCUAACACAACCAGAAGGAAAAACCACGCAGGUUAAAGCUGGAAAGGAUGGUUUGCAAAAAGCCUCAGAAGACGCAGAUGUGUUCAUAGCUGAGACUUCUGCUAACAUGGCGAGCACCAGCAAAGAUGCAGAAGAAAGCAACGGCUCUGUCUUUCAGAUCCCAGUAAAUGAACUUGAUGCUCGGGUUGCUAGGCUUGAGAUGGUAAUGGCCAAGAUAAAAGCAGCAAGAUCAUGUUUGUCAAAAACCCCACAGAAGAAUCUGCUCCCCUGAUGAACUAAGCAGUAUGAUUUCAUUUAAGUGCAUGUUUCCUUUGAUGCUUGCUAGGCUCGUAACAAUUGUAAUCCUUAAAUAGGUCUACAUUUCUGUGUAAAUUGCUUGCUUGAAUUACAAACCUUCUCUGGAUGUAUUACCCAGCCUCGAGUGUAAUCAGUGAAAAGUAAAAUCAUGGAAUAUUUUCAGUAUAAAGUGUAAACAGGAUGAUUUUAUGGAAACACAUGAUAGGCACGUUUCGGUAAGAUAGCUAGAUAUUAAAAAAUUAUUAAUUUAAUAUAUUUUCAAAAUAAAUAUUUAAUCUGGCCUUAUAUAUAUAUAUAUAUAUAUAUCAUGUUGUGAUUAGCAUGUGACUAUUUGUUUUUUAAUUAAGUAUUGUUAUGUGUUAGGGACUUGGUAUUGACAAAACAAGGGGCUAGAUAAAGAUAUAUAUCUUUUUAAAUUAACACGGUUUUUUAAAACACUUGAAAAAAAUAAUAUGUUUUGAAAAAUAAUUAGCAAAAAUAAUAUAAUUCGAUACAUGUCGUAAUUGAAAAUUGCCAUAUUUUAAAGUUAUCACUCAAAUAAAAUGUGACAUUUCAAACAAAUUGUUAAAUGGCUUCAUAAAUUACAAUAAAAAAAAAUGAAAGAGAAAAAUAAAGACUUUGAAACACAUCAAAAUUAUGAUUACAAUACCACCAGUAUUAUUAGAAAAAACUCAACAAAAAAAAUUCAAUGACACUAAGAAAAAUCACCAAUGAUGCAAGUGAGCAAUUAUAAUGAGAAAACAAGAUAAAUAAAAAUAAAGAAAGAAAAAAAGAAAAAGACAUGGAGGUACACCGAAACCAUGAUUAUGACACCGUUGGUACCAUUAAAAAGAUUUUGAUUACAAGAAUCUAACAAUACUGAAAAAGGUCACAAAUGGUGAUUAGAAUGGGUCGCACAUAGUGGGUGGCUUACUUGUCUUUGAACGGAAAAUGUGACUCACUUUGGUCAUCUUUGGUGACUCACUCCGGUUAUCUUUGGUAAUAUUUCUUGGUGUUUUUGAAUUCUUCUCAUCAAGAUUUUUUUGAUGGAUCUUGUGUUAUAAUUAAAGCUUUGAUAUGUCUUUAUGAUCAUUUUUUUUUUCUCUGCUCAUUGUAAUUUGUGCAAUUCAUUCAACAAUUUCUUUUUGAAAAUGCUGCAUUUCUGAUCAUAGAUGACUUUAAAUGUCACUUUUUUCGAUCAAGACAUAUAUCAACCAUGUUAUUUUUUAAUUUCUUUUUUCAAGUUGUGUUAUUUUACUAAUUUUUUUUAAAAAAUAUGUUGUGUUUUCCAAUUAUAACAUGUAUUAACUGUGAUAUUUUAUAUAAAAAAAUUCAAACUAUUUUAUUUUACUAUUUAAAAAAAUACUCGUGCUAAUAAGAAAAUUAUGUUAGAUAAAGGGACUUAGUGAGUAUUAGCUUUUGUUUUGCAUUGCAAAAUAUUUUUCAAAGUAUUUUUAAAUUUGUUUUCCUUAAAAAAGAUUAAAUUAAUUUUUUAAAAAAAUGUUUUUAGAUAAUUUUGAUAUGUUGAUAUUUAAAAUAAAUUAAAAAAAAUCUAUGAUAAAUUAUUUUGAUAUAUUUUAAAUUAAAAAACAUUUUUAAAAAACAUUUUACAUCCCAAUACUUUACAAACACUUAAUUUAUAAGGUAAUUAAUGUUCGCACCCGCACAAUUCUCUUUGUGGAGUGAUAAAAUCUAUUAUACUAAAUUAUAUAUCUCUUAAAUUGUAUGUAAAGUAACGAAUACAGUUACUGAGUUACAAAAUGGUUUUCUCAAUAUUAUAUUAACAAGUCCCAUGUUUCAGUUACGAAGCAUAUCUACCCAUUUCUGGUGCUUCUCUUCUAUAAUUAACUUUUUUCAAGGAAAACAUGGUGAAAUCUAGGGUUAAGAAUAAAAAAAGAAGAUGGAAGGGAAGAUGAAGUACAACAAUCAGAUUAGCGAGAAGAGCAAGCAUCAAAAUUCUGGAUGGAGAAUUAUCGUAUUGUAAUGAGAAGUUCCAGUUUUCCAGACUGCAGCUGUAGAAAUGACAAGGACACCUGCUAAGAAGGCCAGUAAUCUGUAGUGAAUGAGGAAAUUCAUGGAUAGUGGCAGCGAGAUUUAGCAUGAAGCGUUUCAAGGUAUAUUCUCCCAUAUACUUAUGAUUCCAUCAGGAAGCUUGUUUUCUCUAUUGUAAUUCAUGUCGCUAGAGGCAAUAGAAUUGCACUUGCACCUGCACCUGCUGUUCUUGCCUGCAUUUACAGAGAUAUAUAUGACGUUGUUGAAAGGGAAAUCGCAGAGUCAACCUUGUUGGGGAUUCCAAAGGGAAAACAUGAUGGUUUAACAGUUAAGCUUUGGUCAUCAACGCAAUCAGUUCAGGUUUGGGUUUGGAAGAGGUUCAAUGAACUGCAGCCGAAGCCUAAUCUGAUGAAGAGUGGGUGCCCUAGGUUGGCUCAGUACUGGGACAAAUUGAAACAGAAAGUUGAGAGUGUUUCGUUGGUUUUAAUCUUUGAGGAUUUCAAUGCAAUUCGGAAGUGAUGAAGAUCUCUCAGGUUGCAUGGGCUGCUGCUGACUGCAGAUGACAUUUAUUCCCACUUGACGUGUGAUGACCCAACACGCAGUCUACGCGGCGCUGUUUGUUCAGCCGAACCAAAACCUGAACUGAAAUAUAAAUAUAUUUUUUUAAUUUUUUAAUAUAUAUAUAUAUAUAUAUAUAAAAAGAAAUUAAUUUGAAGGAAAUAUUUUUUUUAUAAAUACUUUUAAAUUGUAAGUAAAAACAAAUGCUCUAAAAAUAAUUGGGGUCAUUGUAAACAAAUAAUGUUGUUUGAUUUUUAUAUUUUUUAAAUAUUUUUAUUUUGUAAUAUUGAAAAAUAUAUUAAUGCAUUCGAGUUUUGCAGUGUAAUCCAUUAAAUACACAACUUGAUCAUUAACUUCAUUUAUUCAACCUUCUUCUGUUUGCUCUCCUAUUGAAGCGAAAUGAAAAGCAAGAAGCUACUGGAUUUAGGGUUUGUUUGGGAAUGCAAUUAAAACUAUGUUUUUUAUAUAAAAAAAAAUUCAUUUUUUUAAAUUAUUUUCAUGUUCUGAUAUAAAAAAUAAUUUUUAAAAAAUAAAAAAUAUUAUUUUAAUAUAUUGUUAAGCAAAAAAUACUUUAAACAACAAUUGCUACCAGACUCCCAAACAUAUCUAUUGAUUACAACAAACAUACAAUCAAAGCUUUUCAUUUUGUUAAAUAUUUCUAUGCACUACAAUGUAUUCAUGUUUUCAAGAAAUAUAUAUAUACAAAAGGAAGUAAGAAAACCUCGUCUACUUAAACUCCUAUUCUAGGUAAGAUAAUAAUCUGUACAAAUAGAUUUCAUUACAAUCUUGGAAUCCAUACAUAUCUUACCAGCUAAUACACAAUCUUGUUAGCUAACACUCUCCCGCAAAUUGGUGCAUAGAUGUCUAUCAUGCCUAACUUGCCAAUCAUACUAUAAAAAUCCUUGUUUGAUACUGCCUUAGUGAGGAUAUCAAUUAUAUGACUUGUAGAUUUAACAAACAGAAAACAUAUAAUUUUUUUAUAUCUAACUUCUCUUUGAUAAAAUGACGGUUUACUUCAACAUGUUUAGUUCGAUCAUGUUAAACAUGAUUGUGUGCAAAUCUGAAUUGCUACGUUAUUAUCACAUUACAAAUUGAUAGAAUCUAUAUACUUGAUCUCUAAAUCCUUCAAAACACUCUUGAUCCAUAACAACACAUAUAUUCCCUAAAUCAUUCCUUGAAAUUCUACUUCUACACUAUAUUUUGCUAUAACUUUCUAUUUUUUACUUCUCCAAGUAAUCAAAUUCCCUUCCAUAAAGGUCGAAUAACCAGACAUAAACCUCCUAGGUGUUUGAUUUCUUGCCCAGUCUGCAUCAAUAUAGCCUUUAAUAUUUGAGACACCAUUCUUCAAGUAUAAUUAACCUUUGUUAGGCGCACCUUCAAGAUACUUAAGAUCAUGUAGACUGCAUCCAUAUGCUUCUCAUUUGAUGCAUGCAUAAAUUGGCUCACGAUACCUAUAAUAUAUGUUAUAUCAAAUCUAGUAUGGGUUAGGUAAAUUAACUUAUCCAUAAGUCUUUGAUACCGACCCAUAUCUGUAGGGAGUUAAUCUGGAAAGAUCCCAAGUCGAUGAUUCGUUUGUAUUGGUGUUUCAAUAGGUUUGCAAGCUAGUAUCUCAAUCUCACUUAGAAGAUCCAAUAUGUAUUUAUGCUGUGAAAGGGAAAUUCCUUGUUUGGACCUUACUACUUCAAUGCUAAGAAAAUACCUUAGUUUUCCCAAAUCUUUCAUUUUGAAUUCUAUAGACAAGUACUCUCACAAUGUCCUCAUUUCUUUAGGAUCAUUACCUAUCAAAAUCAUGCCAUCUAUAUGCACAAUCAAUAUCGUUACCCUUCCAUCUUUAUGUUUUACAAAUAACGUAUGAUCUAUAUUGCUCUAUUGAUAACUAAUUGCUUUCAUUGCCAAAGUAAACCUCUCAAACCAUGCGCGAGGAGAUUGCUUUAAACCAUAUAGAGAUCUAUUUAGGUUGCACAUUCUGCCUUCGUGUUUGGAACUUUGUUUUAUUCCAAGCAGAGGUUCUAUGUACACCUCUUCUUCUAGAUCACCAUUCAAGAAAACAUUUUUUUAUGUUGAAUUGUUGUAGGGGCUAAUCUCAAUUUGCAGUAAUGGAUAUGAGAAUACAGAUGGUGGUGAGCUUGGCUAGUGGUGCAAAGGUCUCUUGGUAGUCGAUACCAUAUUUCUAGGCAUACCCUUUGGCCACGAGUCUCGCUUUAUAUCUAUCAAUGCUUCCAUCCGCUUUAAGUAUAACAAUGUAUACCCAUCUACACACAAUUGCAUUUUUUUUUGCUGAUAACACAACAAGUUCCUAAGUGUAGUUCUUCUACAACGCUUCCAUCUCUUCAUUCAUAGCCUUUUUUCACCUUGAAUCUGCCAAUAUAUCCUGCAAAUUAUUAGGAAUAGACACUUUGCAUAAUUGAUUAAUGAUUAGUGCAUAAGAUUCUAAAAGUCCAUGAAAAGAGACAUAGUUAUUGAUAGGAUAUUUAACAUUGGUUUUAAUGUCCAGCUUAUAUUGUUUCUUUGUAACACCUUUAUGAGGUCUUUGUGAAUACUUGGGAGUGGGUUGAGAUGUAUCCUUAGUGGUGGGAUUAUCUAGGAUAUUUUAAGCAGAAGACUCUCUAGUUGAUGGUACGAGUAAGUCACUCAUCGCAGUUUCUUCCUCACUGAGGUUCGUAGCUUUUGUGUCAUCAGCACACAAUUCAAUCAUCUCAGCUUCUUCCCCAUCAUGGUUUACAACUUCUGUGUCACCAACAUAAUCCCUACAAAGGUAAUUGUGCAAUGAUAAAUUCCUCUCGUUUGGAAUAGUUUAAGUACCAGUGAACAAAGUAGCAUUAUGCUUAUUACUACUCUCUUUUUUUUCAAAUGCCACUAGCUAUAUAAAAACACCACCUCACUUUUAUCAAAAAUAAUAUUGCAAAGCUUACCCUUUUCAUACACAUUCUCCCCCUGAAGAGGAGAGCCUAAAUCGUUUACUAAAUACUAAGGAUUCAUUUCACGAAAGGAGACAUCAAGAGAUACAUGUAACUCGUGAGUUUGAGGGUAAUAACAUCUGUACCCUUUCUGAAAAUCAGGGUAACUAAUAAAUACACAAUGUUGGGCAUAGGGAUCAAGCUUGCUACGCAAGACUUUGAGUAUGUGAACAUACAUUGUAUAACCAAAGGUUUUAGGUUCCAAGUUUGGUUGAUGGGGUAUGUAAAAGAAGGUUUGUAAUUUUUAGUAUAGGGUCUAGAAAUCAAUCACCCAGGAAGGCACUGUAUUGAUAAUGUAGACAACAGACUUGGCAGCCUCUUCGCAAUAGAAAGGAGGCAUAUUCAUUCCAAAAAAAAUGCACGUACCACCUCCAUGAUCUACCUAUUUUUCCUCUUCACAAAGCCAUUUUAUUGAGGUGUGUAGGUGUAAGAAGUAUGAUGUCUAAUUCCUUAUUGUCAAAGAUAAUCACCAAGCGAGUUCUCAAGAAAUUCCAUGGAAUUGUCAUAUUGCCAUACCUGAAUUUGUUUUUGAAAUUGAGUUUUCUCCAUGUUGUAAAAUUCCUAAAAAAUAGUACUAGCAUCACUUAUCUUAGGUAAUAAGGAUACUCACGUCAUACGAGUGCAUUCAUUAAUAAAGGUAAUAAAAUAACAAGUUUUAGCCAUAGAUGGGAUUACUGCAAAUCCCCAAAUAUCAAAGUGAAUAACCAGAAAGGGUUUAGAGCUUUUGUUGAAAGAAGGGAAGUAAGGUUUACAAUGGCUUUUUGUCAAUUCACAAAUGUCACAUUGAAAAUCCAAAAUAUGCAAUUCUAUAAACAAAUUAUGUUUUAAUUUCUGAAGCUAACUAAAGGAAAGAGGCCUUAGCCUCUUAAGCUAGAGCUACACCUUAGACAACUUCCUAUCACCUUUCGUCACAAAACAUGCCUUAAUGUACUGCCAUUUGUUAGUUGUUGUCAAUUUCAAGUAGUAGAGGUUGCCCCAUUAAUUUAACAUCACAACCAAGAGUCUUUUGGGUCAAAAUAUCCUGAAAAACACAAUAAAAAGACCAAAAAAGUAACAAUGUAAUUUAGUGCUAAAGUGAUUUGGCCUACAUAUAACAAAUUACAUUCAAGACUAUGAACAACCAAUAUUGUAUUAAGAGUUAUGGCAGUAGUUAGAGCAAUGGAGCCCUUUCUGGUAAUAAGGGAGAUAUCAUCAUUGACUAUAGAUAUGACUUGUUGGGAUGAUGAACGAAGAUUUUGUAAUUUACUAGAGUCUUUAAUCAAAUGAUCGUAUGCACCGGUAUCAAUAAUCCAAGUAUUAUCCAUAGUAAUAGCAGAAAGAACACUAGCCUUAACAAUAUUACCUGGCUGAGUUAAAUUAGUUAAAUUAACAGUAGGCAUGGAAGUCCCCUCCUAAAUUAGAUGGCUUUCACCUGAUUUCGCCAUUACAGUUUUUCUAGUAAUGUUCUUCCGUGAUUUUUUUCAAAAAUCCUACCAUUCAGGAUAUCCAAUAAGCUCAUAGCAACGCAGCUUUGAAUGACUAGAUUCACCACAGUGGAUACAAACAUAGUUAUUUGGCUUUCCUGAAUCUUGACUAUUUUUCCCUUUGGCAGAACUAGAAGCUAUUCCUCGCUGGUUUUGAUUAGCUAUCAUGGUUGUAUUUUCAAAGACCGGCCGAGAAACUCCAAUAACUUGUCAUUGUUGUGACUCUCUUCUCACACAUGCGUAGGCUGCUUCUAGGUCCAGUUUUGGUUCCUUUCAAAGAAUUUCCCCAUGGAUUUGAUCAUAUUUAGAAUCAAGACCGCUUAAAAAAAAUGUACUCACAAUCUAAUCAUCACCGCAUGAAGUUGUACAAUCCCUUCAAUAGAUUCUUCUUAGAAUGUGCUGCGAUGAUCGAUUUCCUGAAAGAUUGCAACAAGUUCAUUAUAAUACAUGGAUAAAGGCCUAACAUUCUGAGUGGUUAAAAAUGACUUUUGAUUCAGUUCGAACAAUUAUGUUUCAUCAGAUCCAUUGUAGAAGGUCCUUGACACUGCCUCAUAUAUUUUCCUUGCUAUAACAAGACGAAUGAAUCUCUGCAUUAGGUGGGGCCUCAUUGAUUCGAUGAGCCAACUCUUUACUUUAUGAUUUUUGAUAAUCCAUGUAUCAUAGUUCAGAUCAUUAGGUGCAAGUUUCACCGCUAUCACAGUUAGAUACCCAACCUUGUUGCGGUCCCAAUAUGCAUCUCUAUUAACUGCGACCAUAACAUAUAGUUGGUUUCAUUGAGAAUAAUAUUGACAGGAGAGCCGGAGGUUUCUUGUUGAACGAUAAUUGGGUUUGACAAAGGAUUGCGUGGAGUGGCUGGAACAAUUGGAUCUCGCUCUUGUUCUGCCAUUGUGAUUUUGUUUGUAGGAGGAAGUCCCUGGAAUACAAAGGUCAAGGGAGAAUGCAGGGAAGAAUAGUAAAAAAAAAAAAAAAGUUUUUCAAGCCUGAGCUCUGAUAUCAUGUUGAUUACGACAUUCAACCGAAGCUUUUCAUUCUGUAAAUAUUUCUGCGCACUACAAUGUAUUCAUCUUUUCAGGAAAUAUAUAUAUAAAGGAAGUAAAACGUCCUAGUAUGCCUAAACUCCUAUUCAGGGUAAGACUAUCUGUACAAGGAAACAACUACAAUCUUGGAAUCCAUACGUCUCGACAGCUAAUACACAAUCUUGCCAGCUACCACUAUCAAAAUGGUAGACCCGUGAUAUUUGCUGGAGAGAAACAAUGAGGCCCUUCUUGGCUCUCUCCAAUCUAUGCCCUUCUUGGCUCUCUCCAAAAUGGCGCCGUUUGUUCAGCCGAACCAAAAGCUGAAGUUAAUUAUAAAUAAUAUUUUUUUUAUUUUUUAAAAUAUAAAUAUAAAUAUUCAACUUUUGCAGCUUAACCCCGUUAAAUACGCAACCUUAUCAUUAAAUUCAUUUAUUCAACCUUCUUACAUUUGCUGUCCAUGUGCUCUCCUGUUGAAGCGGAAUGAAAACCUAAAAGCUCCAAAAUUUAAGGGGUUGUGUUUGAAAAUAUAAUUAAAUCAUGUUUUUUAAAAGUUUUAAAAAUUAUUUUUUAUAUAUAUUUUCAGAUUGUUUUGAUAUUAAUAUCAAAAAUAAUUUUUUAAAAUAAAAAACACUUUAAACAUCAAAAUUUUAAACUCCCAUACAUGUCAAAAUGGUAGACCCAUAAUAUUUGCUGGAGAGAAACAAUGAGGACAUUCUUUGCUCUCCCCAAUCUAUGCCCGAAGGUCGAUGUGCAUGUGAUGUGUCUUCCCACCAUGUGAUGUGUCCUUAAUAAUUUGAUUAAUUGCUGUUAAUCUUUGAUGUCUUUAUUCACGAUUUUUCCACAAUAAGAUACUGUGUCGAUGGUCCUGCCAUGUUCUAAUUUAAUAGCAUAUAAAAAUAAAAAUCAAUACUUGUAAAACUUAAAUACCAACUAGAGUGUUUAUUUAAGUAUUAUAAGUUUUUAUAAAAAAAAAACAAAAUAUGGCUAAUUAAUAUAAAAACCAAAUAAAUAUUGAAUAUUAAAAUUAAAAAAAAAAAAAAAAAAUUGAGGUUGUUCAUUGUUUAUAUGAUGAUCAAGCACCAUAAUAUGCUUCAAUCCUAAAGAGAGUAAUAUAUAAUUCUUGAUUGGGUAUUUUUUUUUUUUUAAAAAAAAAAAAAACACUAAUAAUAACAUCUUUAACUGAAAGGACACAAUAUGCGUGUUGCGCGAGCUCUGGUUGUUAAAAGCCUGGCAGUGUCAUUAUUUGUGAGAAACCGUUUCAAAUCAUAGAAAUCAAAACAAGCAUUUAUGGCGUUAUCGUGCGAUAUCGAAAAGAUACGCGCGAGAGAUCUACAAAGCUCGAGCGGAAGACUUGAUGACUUUGUGGAUUCAUUUAUACAGAUCUGUAAACGGUAUUGUUAAGAGCCCUAGUCAUUGUAUACCCAACCUUUCAAUUUCAAUAGAAAGGAGGAAGUCAGUCAAUACGGGUGUCUGCAACCAUGGAUUCGAUCAAGCGUUUAGCCCCGAGCCCCUGUGUUUCCAAGUCCAAACACAGGAAACAAUAUUGGGUACGAAACAAAUCUAGUUAUAUUUCUAUGUUUUUCUUAUAAAGAUUAUUCUUAAUGCUUGUUUCUUGACUUCUUGUUGCUAUAUAUCAUGUCAUUAUCCCCAGAAAUUAAAAAUUAUUAUUUUUCUUAUACAUGUUAAGAAGAACAGAGAGAGGAGAGAAACUAUAAAACGAUUGGAAACAGAUAUGAUCGAGAUCGGUGAGGGACAACAACGCAUCAGAGAAGGGCAACGAGAAAUAAGACAAAAGUUUGAAGAGAUAGGAUCUGAAUGCCGCAGGCUCAAAGAGGAGACGAUGAACAUAGCCAAGCAGAGUGAUUACAACCAAGUCAGGAUAAACCUAAUGUUUAGCAUCUUGAAAGCCCGUGAAGACAACAACUUUGCCCAUGCUGAUCACCUUACUGGGCUCCUCCGGUUGGUUAAAUUCCCUUCGCCAUUUCUUUUCUUAAUUCUUGGGAUUUCGGAUUUCAUAAUUAAUCUUGCUAAUGCUAGCUAUUACAAGGAGAGAAACAUAAGUUAACGAACUCAAAAUAAAAGAAUCAAAAUGCACCCUUGAUAAUUAAUCUUCUCUCAAUAAUUGUGUUUCCUAUUCGUUGUGUUGGCAGCAAGGAAAUGGAAAAGCAGGAACAAGGAAAGGCAGGCCUGGUUGGCUGACUCAUGAUCAUGGAAAACGACGAGCAGUUUGCCUUUGCAGUGACUCCUGAUCGUCUUUUCUUAUUAAAAUGAAAUCAUCAGUCCUAAAUCUAGAUAUGUAUCGACAUUAGUCUUCCCUUGAUAUCCUUCUUCCUUUGAUGAAGUAUUCAUUUGAUUAAGGAUUUGCGUUCUCUUUCCGAAUUGAAUGUUUUGAGUUAUAGUACAUACCAUGUGAAUUGCCGGGCGAUGCCACCGAUUGUUAUAUAAACGGUAUAAGCAUUCGGUUGAGUAUAAUCUGAGGUAAUCGAAGAAGAACAUAGGCCGACAUAAUUAAACAAAAUGAGAAAAAAAAUAAAAAUUACUAGAAGUAUUGAGGUUAAGCAAUGCAAUCACAAGCUUUAUGUUAGAGAAACGUAAAGUCUUAACUAGCCUGUUUAGCUUUGCAGUAUUCAGUUGUUUUUAUUUAUUUUGAUUUUGUUUUUUAAGAAUUAUUUUUCAUAUUAAUUUUAAAAUAAAUAAAUAAAUAAAUCAUUUUUUUUUACCAAAAAAGGGUGUGGCUUCAAUAACAAAUAGUGAAAAAGUCUCAAAUACAAAGCAACAAGUACAUAAUAAAUUACCUGAUUGUUAAUCAAGGUAUACAUAAAUUCACUCGAAUAUUUAUAAUUAUUAAAAUAAUAAUAAUAAAGAAAGAAAGAGCUCCAGACUUUUUGACCGUGCAUUCUCAUUUCACUUUGAAUUCCAGUGAGAUUGAUAAUUUCUUUUGGAAAAAAAAACUUGUUUAACUUUGUCUCAGGUGUAGAAAGGUGUUUUCAAUGGGAUUUAUUAGUAAUUAUUAUUUUUAAUAGGGACAACUUAGUUUGUUUGCGUUUUAAAUAAAGUGUAAUGAUUUAAACACUUUUAAAAGUAAGAAAAAUUAAAACUAGUAGGAAUAGUUUUAUGGUUUUAUAGUAAAAGAAUGAUAUUGCCCUUAAAAGAAAAUGAUAAAACUUGUAUUCAGAGUCAUUUAGAUCUUUUCAAUACAGUUAUUUUGUAAUUAUAUAUUUGAAUUAAAAACAAUUAAAUCUUUAAUUAUAUUUAUAUAAAUAAUUAAUAUAUGUCACAUACAUUUUAGCAAGUGAAAGGCGUUCAUGCUCUUAAGAUGAUGUUUGCCUCCCCUAACAAUGGUUAAAAGUUGUGUAAACAAUGAUGUUUGAAACGAUGGGUCAUUCUCUUUGCGAUGGUGGGAUGCUUGUUUACGAAUGAAGUGUGGUUGAGCUCCUUAUAAACAUUUUUCUUUUCCUGUUUUUUCUUCCUCUUUUAGUCUAGAAAUUGAUGCCAACUCUUUUAAAAAUUUAUUGUGUUCUCUAGUUUGUAUUUUUAUUAAUUUUGAUUAUCAUUUGUUUUUGCUUUUAAUGCAUUUUGAUCUUUAAUUGAUUUGCAAUUUCAUCCAUAAGAAUUUUGUUUCAUUUAAUUUUUAUAUGAAAUUUGAUCUUUAUUAUUUUAUUUCUAUUUUUUUUGUUUUUAUACUUAUCUAGAUUUUUUUUUUCAAUUUUACCUCUCAUUAUUUUAUUUUAUUUAAUUUUUGCAUUCAAUUUUAAUCUUUAUUUUUUUAUUGUUAUUUUUUUUAUUUUCUUAAUUUUUUUCAUUUAGCUUUUAUGCUAGAUUUAGUCAUUGUUGUUUCGAUUACUAUUUAUUUUGGUUUUUAAUUUUGGAUGAUUAAGGAUUAUGCUUAGUGAUUUUUUAUUGUUUGCUUUUAAUGAGAUAAUCUCGAUCUUAUGAACCGGGUCACUAUUUCAAGGAUUAAUCCGAUUUAACUUUGAUUUUUUAUUCCUUUUUUUUAAAACAAAAUAAUUACUUUUUAAUUUCAUCAUUUGGUUUUAGGUUAUUAGGUCUAAAUUCCCCCCAUUUAUGUGGUGUUAUUUCGGUGUUAUAUCUUAGGUUGAGUUUUUUUCGAGAUAACUCUGGUUUUUUUUUUUUUAAUUUAGUUUUUCUAAUUUAAUUUUUUAAUAUUAAAUUAUUGAACCUUACAAAUUGUAUUUUGUUCAUUAUUUUUUUUUUUUAUAAGUUUAACAUGAUCUCGAGGUCAUUGUCUUUUUUUUAAAUUAAUUUUUUUAAUCUGGAACUCCCAUCACGGGUCGCAUGGUAGUCCAACUAAUCUGAGUUAAGUUAAAGUUUUUUCAAUUUUUUUUUAUUUUUUUUUACCAGUCGCACGCACUGUGUAGCGUAAAACUAAAAGUUGUAUCAGAAGAAAUGUGCAGGACAUGUGUAGGUCGGCUAAUGCUGGCCAUAAAUAGCCAUGUCUGUGAAGCUAUGCAGGUGUGCUAGUGGAGACAGAAACACUUAUGCAGAAAAGUGUGACGUAUGUUCCGGUAGUUCCAAAAAGAAUCAGAUAAAUAGUUGAGAAAUUUAAUAUUUUAAAGUUGUUUUAUGGGAAACAUGAUAUUUCAAAAAUAUAUUUGUUAAAUGACUUCACAAUUUACGAUGACGAGAGAAAAAUAAAAUAAAUACUUUAAUUAUACAUCAAAUCUAUCAUAAAAAAAACUCGACCAUGUGAAUCUAAUAAAAUUAAAGAAGUUCACCAAGUAGAUCACACUCAUUGAAGCUCUAAUUAUAAUAUCACUAGCAGCAUUAUAAAGUUCUGGACAAAAUAAAUCAAAUAUAAACAAUAAAGAUAAUCAAGGAUAAUGAUAAUUGAAGUGGGUCAUAUAUAAUAGGCGGAAAACAUGGUGAAAUCUAGGGUUAAGAUUAAAAAAGAUGAUGGAAGGGAAGAUGAAGGUGAAGAUGAAGAACAACAAUCAGAUUAGCGAGAAGAACAGGCAUCAAAAUUCUGGAUGGAGAAGUUCCAGUUUUCCAGACUGCAACAGUAGAAAUGAUAAGACCACCUGCUAAGAAGGCCAGUAAUCUGUCGUGAAUGAAGAAAUUCAUGGAUGGUAGCAGCGAGAUUUAGCAUGAAGCAUUUAACUUGUUUUCUCUAUUGUAAUUCAUGUCGCUAGAGGUAAUAGAAUUGCACUUGUCUUGCCAGCAUUUAUAGAGAUAUGAAUCUGUUGAAAGGGAAAUUAAAUCGUAGAGUCAACCUUGUUGCGGAUUCCAAAGGGAAACCAUGAUGGUUUAACAGUUAAGCUUUGGUCAUCAAUGCAAUUGGUUCAGGUUGGGGUUUGGAAGAGGUUCGGUGAACUGCGGCGGCCGGAGCCUAAUCUGAUUAGGAGUGGGUACCCUAGGUUGGUUCGGUGGAACAAAUUGAAACUGGAAGUUGAGAAUGUUUCGUUGGUUCUAGACUCGGAUAAAGAGAGUUUUAGCUCUGGAAAACUGGGAUUUCCUCAAGUUUUAUGGAGAAAAAGAAAUGUGGGCCGGCGACUGUUGGUUCUAGUUUGAACGACGAUUUAAUGGCAUUUGCUCGACGCGUCAGGAUUUCAAUGCUGUGUGGAGUUGGCUGUUCAGAACAGUAUUUACCUCAUAGGGUUGCAAUGCAAUUCGGAACCGACGAAGAUCUUUCAGGGUUGUGUUGGUCAAUGCUCUAAUUAACAGACCUGAGAUUGCAGAGAGCUUAAAGCUUUUGUUGAAGAGCUUGAGCAGAUGAUCACACGAAUAAAAACAGCAAGAUUAAGACAAAAUUGUUAACCUAGCUAGCCUUCUUCGUGAGAACGAUUUGCUUGAUUUUAUUUUAUUUGAAUUCAUGGCUUCUCUUCUCUGUUGGCUAUGCUACUAACAUGGCAGUAGCAUUGCAGCAGGUUCCUAAUAUGGAUAACUCCCGCCAUUGACAACAGAUGCAGAACAAGGUUAAAAGGAUAAAAGAAAUAAAUAUAUUCAUAUGUAACCAUGCACUAUGGCAUGAAGUUAUUAUCACAGUGUGCAGACAAAUGCCGUGUGCUGCUGGACCCAACGAGAGUCUACUAGGCGUUAUCUGUUCUGCCCACCCAAUCCUGACUAGAUAAGCACUUGAGAGUUUUUUUUUAUUUUAUCCAGUUGAUUUGAAGUGUUGUUUUGAUAUAAAUUUUGUAAAGAAGAGAUAUUUUUGUUAAGACCAAUUUGAUAUUUGUAUUUUUGUUUAAUAAUUUUAUCUUUUAAAAAUAUCUUUUAUUUGUUUAUAUAAAAGUUUAAAUAAAAGCAAUAGAAACUAGUAGAAUUCAACAUUAAUUAAAUAUUAUGAUGAUGUUUGAUUCAUGUUGUGAUAACUUUAUAAAUAUUAAAUUCAAAUAAAUUAUGAUGACUAAUUUAAAAUUAAUUAAUUAUUAAAAGAGUUUUUUUAAUAUUAAAAUGAUGAUAUAUUAAAUCAACCUAAACUUUACAGUUUAAUUUGUAAAACCUUGACUUGAAUCAUGAACUCCACUUGACAAAUUAAAAAAAAAAACAUUAAGGUUGUUACGACGAUAAAGCACAAACAACAAUAAUAAUUCAAGAUUUUGACUAAAAGUAGAAUCCAUUAUACAUGUGUGUUGAUUAUUGAGUUAUAACCCGUCCGUAUAUGAAAAGGAAUGAAUUUAGCAAAGUUAUUAAACUCGGUCGACCUAAUGGUUGGACUGGUCUGGGUUUGUUAAAAGACCAGUCAAUGCAAUGACCCGACAAAACCUGGUCGACCCAUGACCCGGAUGAGACCCAAUAUUUUUUUUUUCAAACGUGGUUUUUUUUUAUAACCUUCUUUUUUAUAUUUUUUUUAGUUGGUUAUUAACACUUUUUAAAGUUCACUAUAUAAAUACUAAAAAUAUAUUUUAUUUUUUCAAUGUAGAAUUUGAAACCCUUUAGUAUAUACUCUAUGUUCCCAAGAAAUUUUUUUUUUUUUCAAUGUGGGAUUUCAAGCCCUUUCAUAUAUAUACUUUAUGUUCAUAAGAAAAAAGUUAUGUUUUUUCAAAGUGAGAUUUGAAACCAUAUAGCAUAUAUACUCUGUUUCCAAGAAAAAACGUUGUUUUUUUAAAUAUGUAAUUUGAAGUUCCUUCGUAUAUAUACUCCAUGUUCAUAAGAAAAAUGUUAUGUUUUUUCAAUGUGAGAUAACAAACGUUUUGGUUUAAAUACUUCAACUUAAAAGUAUGACAUAAUAUAUUUUUAAUGUGAGAUUUAAAGCCCUUUAAUAUAUAUAUAUAUAUAAUAUAUAUAUAUAUAUAUAUAUAUAUAUAUAUAUACACCUAUAUUCCUAAAAAAAAAAAUUAUUUUUUCAAUGUAGGAUUUAAAGUCCUUUUGUAUAUAUAUUUUAUUUUCACAAGAAAAAUGUUAUGUAUUUUUCAAUGUAAGAUUUUAAAUUUUUUAUUAUACUUUAUCUUUAUAAAUUUUUUUUUUAAAUUAAUCCAAUUAACCUGUCUACCUUUAGAGCUGAUUUAAUAAUUUUGGGAUGGAAGGAAUAUUUAAAAUAGUCUUAGAACAAGUCACAUUUGUUUGCUACCCGAUUUGAAAAGAGAAAGUUGCUCUCCCGUAAUGUCUACUUUUAAAAUCAAAAGAAUCCAACAGAAAACGGCAACCAUGACCAUGCCAAAAGGGCUUAAACAAAAGCUCUACAAGAUCAAUCCACGAAAGUUAAACUCCAUUGAAUCAAGAUUUGAAUGUGCUGGGCAAUGAAAAGCCCACGAUUAUAUAAAAUAAAAAAAUAAAAUUCAAAGAGAGUACUGGAAUGCUUGACUAUAACUGUAAAACCAAGCCUAGUCCAAUAAAUCUAUGUAAAAAUCCGAUAAUUCAGAACCUAGAUUAAUUGCUAUCAUGAUUUAUGACCUAACCAAUUUAGUUACAUUAAUGUUGACCAUGAUUUAGUCUAGAUUUAUCCUAGUCAAAAGAGAAAAGAAAUUCCAUAAAAUCUUAACAUGAUAAUCGGGGUCAUUUUCUUCGAGCAAGCAACGAAUCUCCAUAAAAUCUUAAACAUAAUUAGUGCAUAGAUUACCAAAUAUAUAUAUAUAUAUAUAUAUAUAUAUAUAUAUAUAUUGUACCAGAUGAAACAAAACAAUUCUCAGUACGUGGCGUUGUUAUACCUGAGAAUGAUCUAAAAAAUCAGGUCAUAGAUUUCUAGCCUAUACACUGAUUUUAUUAAAAGAAUGAAGAAAGAAAUGGAAGUAAAUAUAAACAAAUUUCUAAUACGAACGAAUAAGGCAAGACCAACAAUGUCAGGAUCCUUGAUCAAACACAGAGCAUUCUUAAUAAAGUAUAACAAGAAUUUAAAUGAUGAAAAUAAAGUCUUACUUAAAUUUGUAAUGCAAAUCAAUACACGAGAUAUUGAUUAUAGAGGAGAGUGGAUAUGGGUUAAAGGUACGAGUUACAAGGGAGAAUAAAAUUUUCUCAGGGAAAAUGAUUGUCUGCCUUCUGAGGAUUUAGAAGUCCCCUUUUAUAAAUGAGUUGACACGGAAGAGGCCAAAAUGUCUUGUUGGGAAAGCUUGGAGAUUUCGUUAGAACCCAUGUGAACCCAUGUUGUAUUGCUUUCCAUGAUUGGGUGACGACAAAAUGAAAAAUGCCUAUGUUUUUUGUGGGACUUUCAUUUGUUGUCUUCUUGCCACCGACACUGGAUUUGUUUGUUUGUAAUAGCAGGUGAUAUUUGUAAUAAAAAACCUAAAACUAAUGGGCUUAAAAUUAAAAAGGACUCAAAACAGUUGAGUCGAAAAUAUAUGGGCUCUAAACAGAUGAGCCUGAGAAAGCCUAAAAUACUCUUUUUUUUAUUUUAUUUUAAUGUCGCUUGAUAGGCGGUAGGAUACCAAAACAGUCAUCUUCAUUAUCGUCUCCAAGGGAAAUGGUAAGAGAUAUCGAUCCAGAUGAGCUGGAUUGGGACAAGACCGUUUUCGGGUCUUGGCUUUGUAUAAUGCUUUGGACUAUUUGUAGGUAUUCUUCUUUAGUUUUAGUAGGCAAUGAAAGUUGUCGUUUGAGACUUUCGGGCUAGAAACUUUGAUUGAGGAUGAUGAUCAAUGAUGAGAGCUAUUUGAUGUUUUUGUAACCAUUCCGUAACAACUAAUUUGGAACUUUUGGAUUCAGCUGCAAAAGAAUCCUACCAUUUGAUUUUGAACUUGCGAACAAGUACUAGAUGUCCGAUUUGUAGAUUAUAAUCAUAAAACCAUGAAUAUACCCAUGGCAUAAAAACUUUUAUACAGAAAAUGAGAAGGGAAGAGAACUUCCUUUCAUAAGGAGCUAGUUAAAAUUUAUUUUUGAAAUGGAGGUAACUAUUUUCAACUAGAGGAUGGUCUUUGAGGUAGUCAACAUGACAACCAUAGUAGUCCCACCAUUUGAGGAACCAGAGUGGGAGGUUUGUAGUAUUCAUGUCAUUAUGGAAGUAGAAAAACCAAGAAUGACUAUGGUUUGGAUUUUGUAGUAGGAAGGCAUUGAACUAUGCCUGUUGGUAAUCCUAGUACGUAUAGGAAGUAUUGAAGUCCUAGGGGUUUGUACGGAAGUGUAUGAGGAAGGAGAGAUGUUGAUGUAAGGGUUGUCCCCAAUCUUUAGGGUGAAUGACUUUGUGAAUGAUACAUGUAGAAUAUGGCGGUUCAGUGUGAUCAGAAUGAAGUUUGAAGUGUUUGAACUUGACAAAAUUGGUAAUUUCAAGGAUUGCGGCAUAAUAGGUGGUUUGGCUAAAUUCCAGGGUUUGUAGUACCAAUUUGAAUGGAAAAUUUUGGAAGCAACAAUGGAAGGGUUUUCAUGUUAAAAUCCUUCUUCCAUAGUUAAAAUAUUUUGGAAAGUAGUUUUGAAAAUAUAUUUGGAUUUGGUGUUUGGAAAACUGGUUUAUUGUAAAGAAAAGAGGGGUUUUGAAGCAGAAAUGCCUCCUUGAGGUUUUGAAAAUGAUUUGGAAAUAGAUACGGAGUCGCUGGAGGCCUAUUGAGACACUUUUUAUAAUGUUAGGAGUAAUUCUGGUGAUUUGGAUAUAGUGUCAACCCAAUGUUGAACUGCGUAUGUUUGUACAUAUGGUGGUUUUAUAGUUUCUUCUUCUUCAAUAACUGCCUCAUACCAGGAUUUGAUGGGUUUGACAGCUAAGAUAGCUGAAGACAUGAGUUUUGAAAAAGGCUUGGGGCUCUCUGAUUUUGUAGGCUGGGUUUGAGGGGCUUUCCCCUUGUUUUUGGCCUUUGCUUUAGGAGGCAUCAAUACCUAUUUUGAAGGAAUUCUCAGGUUAGGAAAUCAGAAUGGAAUUUGAAUCUCCUUUAAUGUAGACAAUAUCGAAAUAAAAAAUGCUUAAAAUAGCUUGCCAUCUGGCAAAAAUCUGUUUUAAAGCAAGAUUUUGGACAUCUUUUUGUAGAAUUUUUUUUUUGCAGAUUUGCAAUUAACACGUAAAAGAAAUUUUUGAUUUAAUAAAUCACUUUGAAAUUUUGUAAUACAGAAAACAAUUGAAAGGAUCUUUUUUUAUAGUAGAGUAAUUUUUCUGGCAAUCAUUCUAGUGGGCGGAUGUGUAUUGGAGGAUUUGUUCUUUAAGAAUCCCACCAUAUCCUAGGUCAGAGACAUCGGUCUCGACAAUCUUAGGAGCUAACGGGUUAGCUAAAUGGAGGAGAGAAAUAGUUUGGACCUCUUACUUAAUCUGUUUGACUAGGUCGGUAUGGAUGUCGGACCAAGAAAUGAGGUUUGUUUUUAACGUGUCAUGUAAAGGUUUGGCUAGACCGCUAAUAUUGGGAUAGUAGUCUAGAACAUAAUUAAGACUGCCUAAAAACCUUUGCAAUUGGGUUUUAUCGGUGAUCUUAUUAGGAAAUUUAUUUGUAAAGGUUAGAGACUUUUUUAUUGGUGUUACAGUGCCUUGGCAAAUAUAAUGCCCUAGAAAACGGACACGAUUUGGAAGAGAGAAAAUUUUGUUUUAGAAACAAUUAAACCAUUUUUUUUUGUAGUAUGAAAGGAAGUAUGUAGAUGUUUGAAAUGUUGAUCUAUGGAAUGUGAAAAAAUAAUCACAUCGUCAAUGUAAACAAUGCAGAACUUUGAAUGUGCAUUGAAGAUGUCAUCCAUGAUGCGUUGAAAUUCAGAUGGUGCAUUUUUUAGGCCAAAGGGCAUAACAAUCCAUUUGUAUUGGCCUAAAGGAACUAUAAAAGCAGUUUUGUAUCUAUCUUUGGGAUCAAUCUGUAUUUGCCAAAAUCCGGAUUUCAUAUCGAACUUAGAAAAUAUGAAUGCAGAGUGCAAUUUUUGUAACAUAUCUUUUUUGUUGGGGAUUAGAUAUCUGAUCCAUUUGAGAGCAGAAUUUAAAGGUUUGUAAUUGAUCACAAGUCUUGGUAUGCCUCUUUCGAUUUCAGAGUUUUUAUUCACAUAAAAGGCUGCACACAACCAGGGUGAUCGAGACUUUUGGAUAAGACCUUUAGACUCGCAAUCGCGGAUUUCAAGUAUGCAAUGCUGUUCUAAAUCAACAUUUAUUUGGAUAGGUCUUGCUUUUGUAGUUAUAAGAUUUUUUGAAAAAGUAUCUUCAUAUGAAAGAUCAACGAUGUGUUGUUUUCUUUUCUAGAAAGCAUUAGGUAAGUCUGAACAGAUUUGUUGUUCAAUCUUAUUUUGUAAAUCAAUGAUUUUCUUUUGUAAAUCAGAGUUUUGUAAUUGUUUGUUUAUACGACCAAAAAAAAAAAGGUUUUGUAAAUCAUGUAAAUGGAAUUGUUUUCCAUGAAUCAGUGCAUUGAUAUGAUAAGUAUGUAUGGAGCAUGCUUUAAUCAAAUUUAAAUUUCUAGUCUUAGAUUUCUCUAAGAAUGGGAGAACAAGUUUGAUGCUAUUGAUUUUGGAAGUAAUACAAUUAUGAUGUGCUUGAUAUGGAGUGAUCAUGUCGAUGAAUGGAGUGCCAAGAAUGAUAGUAUGAUUAAUAUCUUUUGUAACAACAAAGAAUGUUUUAAGAGAAAUACCUUUGUUGAAAACAGAGGUUGAGUUUUGCCUGCAAUAUGUAACUUUGAAUUAUUAGCAGCAAAGAGUUUUUCAGAGGUAUUUUGUAAAAAUUAUUUUGGAGCCACACCUUCUUUGAUGCAGUUCAAAUAUGCACUUGUGUCAAAUAAGACAAUAGUGUCAAGUUUGAAAUCUCUUGAGAAAAUGAGAGUAAUUCUAGUUAAAUAUUUUUUUGAAGAUAUUUGUGUUAAUACGUUAAGGAAAUCAUUUAGAACAUGCUCAAUAUUUGUAAGUGUAUGUGGCAAUGCAUGAGAUUCAAUGGUUUGAUCUUCUAUAUCAGACUCAGUAUCAAACUAGCUUUCAAUUAUGGAUAGGAGAUGUUGUAGUAUGGCAGAGUCUUUUUGUUGGGCUUGGUUGAGGGUUUGUAAUUCGGAUUUGAGGGUUUUGAUCCUAGAAUGUAAUUCUGAAAUGGUGACUGUGGUUUUGAAUUUCUUUUUGUUAAGGAUCUUUGUAAGGUCAUAGGUACUGGUACUAGUAGAGGGUAGUAUAGAGCGAUUUAGAGGGUUAGAUGAAAGGUAAUCUGGUUGGUUGAAAUCUUUCAAUAACUUAUCUAAGUAGGUUUUUUGAAGUUGAGGAUCAUCAAGUCUUUUGAUAACCUCAAGAAUGAAUUUCUAGUCUUGGGUUAAGACGUUAAUUUGUUUGGAAUUUGUAGAGGCAUAUGAAGUAGCACUAGUAGUUGCUAUUUUAUCGAUUUGAAAUUCUUCUUCAGAAGUGUCUGAAGGAGAGUGGUCAAUGUCUGUGACUUCAAUGUAAAGAUUUUAUAUUUGGUUGAUGGUAUCUUCAUUUAUUUUGAGCUUACAAAGUUUGGUAUUGACCUUGCAGAAACGAGAUAUAUGUCCUUUCUGGUUACAUUUGUAACAAAUAAUGUUUUUAAAAUUAAAUGUUGGUUUGGAUUUUGACUGAAAAUGUCCGUGGGGCUUGGUAAAUUUAUAGAGCUUUUUGUAGUAAGGUUGAUUUAAUUUGGAACAAAACUGUUUUCAUAGUCGACAAGCUCCUCUCUUUAUCCAUUCAGUCCUGAAAAGUAACUAAGACAAUUUCAGUUAUAUUUUCAUGUUCCAAUUAAACACUUUUUAUUUUUUUAUUCUCAAAGAAAAAUAUAUUUUUUUAUUAAAUAUAUAAAGAUCCAAUCAUGAUUUUAUAAUAAGAAUAAGAGAUAUUUUAGUUGGAAAUGAAUCUAAAUGUUAGCUAGAUAAAUGUUUUGUAUGAAUCCUGUAGACCAUUCUUACGAGGAUCGUGAGAGGAGGGCUACAAUUCGUAGAAAAGAAACUGCAAUUCCUUGAGGUCAUCCUGCACUUGUAGAAAAAAUGUAGAAAAUAGAAUUUGAAACAGAAAGUUGAGAAUGUUUCCGUUGGUUCUAGACUCGGGAAAGAGAGAGUUUUAGCUCUGGAGAACUGGGAUUUCGUCAAGUUUUAUGGACCUGUUUUUGGUCAAUGCUCUAAUUAACAGACCUGAGAUUGCAUAGAGCUUAAAGCUUUUCUUGAGCAGAUGAUCACACGAAUAAAAACAGCAAGAUUAGGACUAAAAUUGUUAACCUAGCCUUCUCGUGAGAAUGAUUUGGUUGAUUUUGUUUGCUUUGCUAGUUAUGUUAACAACUCAAGCUUGGCUUUGACAUAUGAAGCAGAUGAAAGUGUUUGGGCUUUAAGCUUUUCAUGACCACCCGGCCGGAGAUUGAAUUCCUGGCUUCUCUUCUUCUGUUGGCUCUGCUACUAACAUGGUAGUAGAGCUUUCGACUGUCAGGCAUGGCGUCAGUAUCGUCAGUAUCGUCACUACUAACAUGGUAGUAGAGCUUCCUUGAAGUUGAAUAUGACUCCUCGGAAGCUCUUCGAUGCCAGUCUUCACAUCGUAAUGUAUUCGCUUCUAACUUAUUUGGGGUCUUUUCAGAAUGGAUCUUGAGAAUGUUCCUCCUCCUGUUCUUCGGUAUCUUUUGGACGCUGAUAGAAUAGGUAUUGCAGCAGGUUCCUUCAUAGAUCAUAACUCCCACCAUUCACAACAGAUGCAGAAGAAGGUUAAAAGGAGAAAAGAAAUAAGUAUGGUAACCAUUGCAGCAGCAUGGCAUGAAGAGGUGUGCUGGACCCAACGCACAGUCUACUAGGCGUUAUCUUUUCUGACAAGCCAAGCAGUCGAGAUUUUAUUCGAUUUUAUCCUGUUGAUUUGAAGUGUGCGAUUUGAUCGAGAAAAAAACUGAAAAGUAUAUUAAAAAUAAAUAAUAAUUAAAAAAAUCGAAUGGGAUAGGGAUAAGGAAUCGCGGCGAUAAACAAACAGAGGAGGCAAGAUAAUAGAUAUGUAAAACCUUCCCCUUCCACCAACAGGGCAUUCCAACAGCCUUCUCGUGCAAACAGUCGAAAAUGCUAGAAAAGAGAAAGAAUAAAAGUGGAUUCAACCUCAGCCAAACUCGUACCUGAAGAUAGAAGAAAGUGAAUUAUUCACGAGUAUACAUAAUAGUAUUUGCUUCCGUAAUCUUGCCACCAAUGUAUGGAAUCGAUUAAAUUAAUUAAAAUUUUUUAAAAAAUAAACCGAUUUGGUUCGGUGGAACAAAUUGAAACAUGAAGUUGAAAAUGUUUCAUUGAAUAUGACUCCUUGGAAGCUCUUCGAUGCCAGUCUUCACAUCUUCAUAUUCAGGCUCUUCUUGGCUCGAGGAGACCAUGCAAAUUCCUUCAUUAAUUAAUUACGGUGAAGGUAAUCAAUGUAUUCGCUUCUAACUUGUUUCGGGUCUUUUCAGAACAAUUCAAUGGAUCUUCAGAACGUUCCUCCAAUUCUUCGGUAUCUUUUGCAGCAGGUUCCCUCAUGGAUCAUAACUCCCACCAUUCUCAACAGAUGCAGAAGAAGGUUAAAAGGAUAAAAGAAAUAAAGGUUAAAAGGAUAGUAACCAUUGCAGCAGCAUGGCAUGAAAAAGCUUAUCACAGUGUGCAGACAAAUGCCGUGUGCUGGACCCAACACACGGUCUGCUAGGCGUUAUCUGUUCUGCCCACCAAUUCUUACAAGAUCAGCACUUGAGGUUUAUUUGCUUUAUCUUUAUCUUUAUCUUUAUCUAUCUUUAUCAGUUUAACAAUUUUAUUUUUUUAAUUAUAUAAUAAUAUUAUAAAAUUAAACUAAAUAUUAUGAGAUGUUUGAUUGAAACUAAACAACUUUAUAAAAUAAUUCUUGAAUGGAUAAUCUGAAAACACCAAAAAUAAUUCAAGAUUUUUACUGAAACUAGGGCCCGUUAUGGAUGUUGUUGGUUAUUAGGCUAGAUAUGUUAUGUCCAUAACAAAUGAAUCUGAUCUAAAUAUUUAAAAGAAUUAUUAAAAAAAAUAAACAGUGUAUAUAUAUAUAUAUAUAUAUAUAGAUAUAGAGGCCCAUAGAAGAUCAGCCUGAUUAGGUUUCUAGCGUUAUCGUGCGUUAGUUAAAAAUAAAUCUGAUCAAAUACACAAUUUUGUCAACUAACACUCCUCCUUAAGUUAGUGCAUAAAUAUCUAUUAUGCCUAACUUGUCAAUCAUACUCUAAAAAUUCUUAUUUAAUAUUGUGUUAGUGAGGAUAUCAGCUAUAUGACUUGCAGAUUUAACAAACAAAAAACAUAUAAUUUUUUUAUUAUCUAAAUUCUCUUUGAUGAAAUGACGAUCUACUUCAACAUGUUUAGUUCGAUCAUGUUGAACAUGAUUAUGUGUAAUCUGCUUAUUAUCACAUUACAAAUUGAUAGGAUCUGUAUACUUGAUCUCCAAAUCCUUGAAAACACUCUUGAUCCAUAACAACACAUAUUCCCUAAACCAUUUCUUGAAAUUCUACUUCUACACUAGAUCAUGCUACAACUUUCUAUUUUUUACUUCUCUAAGUAAUCAAAUUCCCUUCCACAAAGGUCAGAUAACCAAACAUAUACCUUCUUAGUGUUUGAUCUCCUGCCCAAUCUGUAUCAGUAUAGCCUUUAAUAUUUGAGACACAAUUCUUUGAGUACUAUAAACCUUUGUCAGGCGCACCUUCAAGAUAUCUCAAGAUUAUGUAAACUGCAUCCAUAUGCAUAAAUUGGCUCACAAUACAUAUAAUAUAAAUUAUAUCAAAACUAUUGUGGGUUAGGUAAAUUAACUUACCCACAAGUUUUUGAUACCGACCCAUAUCUAUAGGGACUUGAUCUGGAAAGAUCCCAAGUUGACGAUUCAUUUGUAUUGGUGUUUCAAUAGGUUUGCAAGCUAGCAUCUCAAUCUCACUUAGAAGAUUUAAUACGUAUUUAUAUUGUGAAUGGGAAAUUCCUUGUUUGGACCUUACUACUUCAAUGCCAAGAAAAUACCUUAGUUGUCCCAAAUCUUUCAUUUUGAAUUCUACAAACAAGUACUCUCGUAGUGUCCUCAUUUCUUUAGGAUCAUUACCUAUCAAAAUCAUGUCAUCUGCAUACAUAAUGAAUGUCGUUACCCUUCCAUCUUUAUGUUUUACAAAUAAUGUAUGAUCUAUAUUGCUCUAUUCAUAACCAGCUGCUUUCAUUGCCAAAGUAAACCUCCCAAACCAAGCACGAGGAGAUUGCUUUAAACCAUACAGAGAUCUCUUUAGUUUGCACACUCUGCCUUCGUGUUUGGAACUUUGUUUUAUUCCAGGCAUAAGUUCUAUUUACACCUCUUCUUCUAGAUCACCGUUCAAGAAAGCAUUUUUUACGUUGAAUUGUUGUAGGGGCUAAUCUCAAUUUGCAGCAAUGGAUAUGAGAAUAUAGAUGGUGGUGAUCUUGGUUACUGGUACAAAGGUCUCUUGGUAGUCGAUACCAUAUUUAUGGGCAUACUCUUUGGCCACGAGUCUCGCUUUAUAUCUAUCUAUGCUUCCAUCCGCUUUAAGUUUAACAAUGUAUACCCAUCAACACACAAUCACCUUUUUUUUCUGUUGAUAACACAACAAGUUCCCAAGUGGAGUUCUUUUGUAAGGCUUCCAUCUCUUCAUUCAUGGCCUUUUUUCACCUUGAAUCUGCCAAUACAUCCUACACAUUAUUAGGAAUAUAUACUUUGGAUAAUUGAUUAAUGAUUAGUGCAUAAGAUUCCAAAAGUCCAUGAAAAGAGACAUAGUUAUUGAUAGGAUAUUUAACAUUGGUUUUACUAUACAGCUCGUAUUGUUUCUUUGUAACACCUUUAUUAGGUCUUUGUGAAUACCUAGGAGUGGGUUGAGAUGUAUCCUUAGUGGUGGGAUUAUCUAGGAUAUUUUGGGCAGAAAAAUCUAUGGUUGAUGGUGCGAGUAAGUCACUCAUCACAGUUUCUUCCUUAUUAAGGUUUGUAGCUUCUGUGUCACCAGCACACAAUUCGGUCAUCUCAACUUCUUCCCCAUCAUGGUUUACAACAUCUAUGUCACCAACAUAAUCCCCACAAAGAUCACUGUCCAAUGAUAAAUUCCUCUUGUUUGGAAUAGUUUAAGUAUUAGUGAACGAAGUAGCAUUAUACUCGUUAUUAUUCAUCCUUUUUUUCAAAUGCCACUAGCUACAUAAAAACACCAUCAUCCUCACUUUUAUCAAAAACAAUAUUGCAAAGCUCACCUUUUUCAUACACAUUCCCCCCUGAAGAGGAGAGCCUAAGUCGCUUGUUAAAUAAUAAGGAUUCAUUUCACGAAAGGAGACAUCAAGAGAUAUAUGUAGCUUAUGAGUUUGAGGGCAGUAACAUCUGUAUCCUUUCUGAAAAUUAGAGUAACUAACAAAUACACAAUAUUGUACAACCAAAGGUUUUAGGUUCGAAGUUUGGUUGAUGGGGUGUGUAAAAGAAGGUUUGUAAUUUUUAGUAUGGGGUCUGGAAAUCAAUCACCCAGGAAGGCACUAUAUUGAUAAUGUAGACAGUAGACUUAAUAGCCUCUCCAUAAUAGAAGGGAGGCAUAUUCAUUCCAAAAAAAGAUGCACGUACCACCUCCAUGAUCUGCCUAUUUUUCCUCUUCGCAAAUCCAUUUUAUUGAGGUGUGCAGGUGCAAGAAGUAUGAUGUCUAAUUCCCUGUUUUCGAAGAUAAUCACCAAGCAAGUUCUCAAGAAAUUCCAUGGAAUUGUCAUAUUGCCAUACCUAAAUCUAUUUGUGAAAUUGAGUUUUCACCAUGUUGUAAAAUUCCUAAAAAGUAGUACUUGCAUCACUUAUCUUAUGUAAUAAGGAUACUCACGUCAUACGAGUGCAUUCAUCAAUAAAGGUAAUAAAAUAACGAGUUUUAGCCAUAAAUGGGAUGACUAUAAAUCCCCAAGUAUCAAAGUGAAUAACCAUAAGGGUUCAGAGCUUUUGUUGAAAGAGGGAAAAUAUGGUUUACUAUGGCUCUUUACCAAUUCACAAAUGUCACACUGAAAAUCCAAAAUAUGCAAUUCUGUAAACAAAUUAGGUUUUAAUUUCUUAAGGUAACUAAAGGAAAGAUGCCCUAGUCUCUUAUGCUAGAGCCACACCUUAAACAGCUUCCUAUCACCCAUCAUCACAAAACAUGCCUUAAUGUACUGCCAUAUGCUAGUUGUUGUCAAUUUCAAGUAGUAGACACCACAACCAAGAGUCUUUCGGGUCAAAAUAUCUAGAAAAACACAAUAAAAAGGCAAAAAAGUUAUAGUGCAAUUUAGUACUAAAGUGAUUUGGCUUACAGAUAACAAAUUCCAUUCAAGACUAGGAACAACCAAUACUAUAUCAAAAGUUAUGGCAGUAGUUAGAGCAAUGGAGCCCUUUCUUGUAAUAGGGGAGAUAUCAUCAUUGAUUGUAGAUAUGACUUGUUAGGAUGAUGAGCGAAGAUUUUGUAAUUUACUAGAGUCUCUAAUCAUAUAAUCGGAUGUACUAGUAUCAAUAAUCCAACUAUUAUCCAUAGUAAUAGCAGAAAGAACACUAGCCUUACCAACACUACCUGGCUGAGUUAAAUUAGGAGGAGGCAUUGAAGUCCCCUCCUGAAUUAGAAGGCUUUCACCUGAUUUAGCUAUUGCAGCUUUCCUAGUAAUGUUCUUUCAUGGUUUUUUUUGAAAAAUCCCACCAGGAUAUCUAAUAAGCUCAUAGCAAUGCAACGUUGAAUGGCUAGAUUCACCACAGUGGGUACAAACAUAGUUAUUUGGCUUUCAUUAACCUUGACUAUUUUUUUCUUUGGUAGAACUAGAACCUAUCCCUCGCUGGUUUCGGUUAACUAUCAUGACUGUAUUUUUAGAGACCGGUCGAGAAACUCCAAUAACUUGUCGAUGUUGUGAGUCUCUUCUCCCACAUGCGUAGGCUGCUUCCAGGUCCAGUUUUGGUUCCUUUCCAAGAAUAUCCCCACGGAUUUGAUCAUUUUCAGAAUCAAGACCGCUUAAAAAAAAUGUACUCACAAUCUCAUCAGCACCGCAUGAAGUUGUACAAUCCCUUCAAUAGAUUCUUAUUUGGAUGUGCUGCAAUAUCGAUUUCUGAAAGAUUGCAACAAGUUCAUUAUAAUAUAUGGGUAAAGGCCUACCAUUUUGAGUGGUUGAAAAGGACUUGUAAUUCAUUUCGACCAAUUGUGUUUCAUCAAAUCCAUUGUAGAAUCUCUGCAUCUAGUGGGGGCUCAUUGAUUCGAUGAGCCAGCUCUUUACUUUAUGAUUUUCGAUAAUCCAUGUAUCAUAGUUCGGAUCGUUAGGUGCAAGUUUCACUGUUGUCCCAAUUAGAUACCCAACCUUGUUGCGGGUCCCAAUAUGCAUCUCUAUCAACUGCAGCCAUAACAUAUAGUUACCAUAUACUGACGGGAAACUUGUUGAAUGAUAAUUGGGUUUGACAAAGGAUUGUGUGGAGUGGCUGGAACAAUUGGAUUUCAUUCUUGUUCUGCUAUUGUGAUUUUGUUUGUAGGAGGAAGUCCCUGGAAUACAAAGGUCAAGGGAGAAUGCAGGGAAGAAUAGUUAAAAAAAAAAAAAAAGUUUUUCAAGCCUGAGCUCUGAUAUCAUGUUGAUUACGACAUUCAACCGAAGCUUUUCAUUCUGUAAAUAUUUCUGCGCGCUACAAUGUAUUCAUCUUUUCAGGAAAUAUAUAUAUAAAGGAAGUAAAACGUCCUAGUAUGCCUAAACUCCUAUUCAGGGUAAGACUAUCUGUACAAGGAAACAACUACAAUCUUGGAAUCCAUACGUCUCGACAGCUAAUACACAAUCUUGCCAGCUACCACUAUCAAAAUGGUAGACCCGUGAUAUUUGCUGGAGAGAAACAAUGAGGCCCUUCUUGGCUCUCUCCAAUCUAUGCCCGAAGGUCGAUGUGCAUGUGAUGUGUCUUCCCACAUGAUGAUCCUGACAGAGCAAGGCCUAACACUUUUCCAGUGUCCUAAAUAGUUUGAUUAACGUGUCUUCCCAAUUUUUAUUUUUUUUAAAAAAAAACAAUAAUAAUAAUCAAAAUAUUAACUGAAAAGAGGACACAAAAUGCGUGUUGCUUGAGAUCUGGUGGUUAAAAGCGUGGCAGUCUAUUAUUUAUGAGAAACUGUUUUAAAUCAUAGAAAUUAUAACAACAUUUUCUGGCGUUAUCGUGCGAUAUCGAAAAGAUACGCGCGAAGAGAUCUACAAAGCUCGAGCGGAAGACUUGAUGACUUUGUAGAUUCAUUUAUACAGAUCCGUAUAAAUGAACGGUAUUGUUAAGAGCCGAUGUUAUUGUAAACACAACCUUUCACUAUCAAUAGAGAGGCGGAAGUCAGUCAAUACGGGUGUCUGCAACUAUGGAUUCGAUCAAGACUUUGGCCCCGAGCCGCCGUGUUUCCAAGUCCAAACACAGGAAACAAUAUAAGGUACGAACCAAAUCUAGUUAUAUUUCUAUGUUUUUCUUAUAAAGAUUAUUCUCAAUGCUUGUUUCUUGACUUGUUGUUGCUAUAUAUCAUGUCAUUAUCCCCAGAAAUUAAAAAUUAUUAUUUUUCUUAUACAUGUUAAGAAGAACAGAGAGAGGAGGGAAACUAUAGAACGAUUGAAAACAGAUAUGAUCGAGAUCGGUGAGGGACAACAACGCAUCAGAGAAGGGCAGCGAGAAAUAAGACAAAAGUUUGAAGAGAUAGGAUCUGAAUGCCGCAGCCUCAAAGAGGAGACGAUGAACAUUGCCAAGCAGAGUGAUUACAACCAAGUCAGGAUCAACCUAAUGCUUAGCAUCUUGAAAGCCCGUGAAGACAACAACUUUGCCCAUGCUGAUCACCUCACUGGGCUCCUCCGGUUGGUUAAAUUCCCUUCGCCAUUUCUUUUCUUAAUUCUUGGGAUAUUGGAUUCGAUAAUUAAUCUUGCUAAUGCUAGCUAUUACAAGGAGGGAAACAUAAGCUAACGAACUCAAAAUAAAAGAAUCAAAAUGCACUGUUGAUAAGUAAUCUUCUCUCAAUCAUUGUGUUUCCUAUUCGUUGUGUUGCCAGCGAGGAAAUGGAAAAGCAGGAACAAGGAAAGGCAGGCCUGGUUGGCUGACCAAUGAUCAUGGAAAACAAGGAGCAGUUUGCCUUUGCAGUGACUCCUGAUCGUCUUUUCUUAUUAAAAUGAAAUCAUCAGUCCUAAAUCGAGAUAUGUAUUGACAUUAGUCUUCCCUUGAUAUCCUUCUUCCUUUGAUGAAGUAUUCAUUUGAUUAAGGAUUUGCGUUCUGUGAUCCUAGUUGAAUGUUCUGAGUUAUAGUAUAUAUACUAGGUGAAUUGCCGGGCGAUGCCGCCGGUUGUUAUAUAAACGGUAUAAGCAUUCGGUUGAGUAUAACCUGAGGUAAUCGAAGAAGAAGAAGAUAGGCAGACAUAAUUAAACAAAAUGAAAAAAAAUACCAGAACUAUUGAGGUUAAACAAUGCAACCACAUGCUCUCUGUUAGAGAAACACAAAGUCUUAACUAGCCUGUUUAGCUUUGCAGUAUUCGGUUGUUUUUUUUAUUUGGAUUUUUAAAAUUUAUUUUUUAUAUUAAUAUAUUAAUUUAAAAAUAAAAAAAAAUUAUUACAAAAAUUAUUUUUUUAGAAAACAACAGUGUGGCAUCAAUAACAAACAGUCUCGAAAAGUCUCAAAUAUAAAGCCACGUGUGCAUAAUAAAUUGUAAUUAAUUUGGAAUUUAUUUUCUAAAUAUUACUAAUUUAAAUGUUAUAAAUCUCAAAGUAAUUUAUCUGAUUUUUAAUUUUAUAGUUUUGAAAAAUUAAUCAAAAUAUAAAUAAGUUGGUCUAGACAUUUAUGAUUAUAUAUAAAAAAAAACAAGAAGAAAAGAAAAAAUUAAAGAGCUCCAGACUUUUUGACCGUGCAUUCUCAUUUCACUUUGAAUUCCAGUGAAAUUAUUAUUUUCCUUUGGAAAAAAGAACUUGUUUAACUUUGUCUCAGGUGUAGAGAGGUGUUUUCAAUGGGAUUUAUUAGCUAUCAUUAUUUUUAAUAGGGAGAAGUUAGUUUGUUUGCGUUUUAAAUAAAGUGUAAUGAUUUAAACACUUUUAAAAGUAAAGAAAAAAAACUAGUAGAAAUAGUUUUAUGGUUUUAUAGUAAAAGAAUCAUACUAUCAUUAAAAAAAUAUAUUAUAAAACUUGCAUUUAAAAAUAUUUAGGUCUUUUCAUCUUUUCAACACGGUUAUUUUGUAAUUAUAUAUUUGGAUUAAAAACAAUUAAAUCUUUAAUCAUAUAUAAAAAAAAAAUUAAAUGGUUGAUGUGUGUCUCACAUGCGUUAAUAAGCGGAAAGUGCUUAUGCUCUUCGGGUUAUAUGUGUCUACCCUAUCAAUAGUUAAAAGUUUGUGUCAAUGACAAUGUUUGAAACGGUGGGUCAUCCUCUUUGUAGUGGUGGGAUGCUUGUUCAUGAAUGAAUUGCGGUUGAACUUCUUAUAAACAUUUUUUUUUCUCGCUCUCUCCUAGUUUAGAAAUUGACACCAACUCUUUUAAAAAUCUAUUAUCUAUUGUGUUCUUUAAUUUGUGUUUUUAUUAUUUUUUAUCCUUAUUUUAUUUAUUUUCAAUUGUUUUUACUUUUAAUGCAUUUUAAUCUUUAAUUGUUUUGCAAUUUCAUCCAUAUGAAUUUUAUUUUAUUUAAUUUUUAUAUCAAAUUUGAUUUUUUUUUUGUUUUUAUACUUUUCUAGAUUUAUUUUUCAAUUUUACCUCUCAUUAUUUUAUUUUUGUAUUCAAUUUUAAUCCUUAUUUUUUAUUGCUAUUUUUUGUUAUUUUCUUAAUUUUUUUCAUUUUUAAUUUUAGUCCCUCAUUGUUUGUUUGUUUGUUUCAUUUAGCUUUUAUGCUAGAUUUAGUCAUUGUUGUUUUGAUUGUUAUUUAUUUAGGCUUUUAAUUUUGGAUAAUUAAUGAUUUUGCUUAGUGAUUUUUUAUUGUUUUUUUUAUGAGGUAAUCUCGAUUUUAUGAACCAGGUCAUCAUUUUCGAGGAUUAAUCUGAUUUAACUUUUAUCUUUUCAUUUCUUAAAAAAAAAAAACCAAAAUGAUUAUUUUUUAAUUUCAUCAUUUUAUUUUAGGUUAUCAGGUCUAGAGUGUUUUUUUUUUUUUGCUUUCCUUUAUGUGGUGUUAUUCCGGUGUUAUAUCUUAGGUUAAGUUUUUUUCGAGUUAACCCAGGUUCAUUCAAGUUUUUUUUUUUUUGAAUCUUUUUCAAUUUAGUUUUUCCGAAUUUAAUCUCUUAAUAUUAAGUCAUUGAGUCUUGAAUUUUUGUUUUUCAAUGAAUUUAACAUGUUCUCAAAUCUUGAAUCUCAAAAUUUUCUUUUUUCUAUUUUUUAUAUUUUUUGAAAUUAAUUUUUUUAUCUCAUUAUUUAAAGUUAUGUUAUUAGACAUUCAAUUUUGUAAUAUUUUUUAUUUUUUUAUUGUAAAUUAUCAUGGAUAGUUAGUUAGUCAAAUUAACUUAGGUUAACAAAGUUUUUUUUUAAUAUUUUUUAUUUCACUAUCAUCUCGAGGUCAUUGUUUUUAAAAAAUUAUUUUUUUUAAUCUUGAUCUGGGUCGCAUGGUAGUCCAACUAAUCUGAGUUAAGUUAAAGUUUUUCUCAAUGUUUUUAUAAAUAAUUUGUUUUUUAAUUUUACCAGGCUCACAACAGUGUAGCGUAAAACUAAAAGUUGUAUCAUAAGAAGGUUGAGGACAUUUGUAGGUCGGCUAAUGCUGGCCAUAAAUAGCCAUGUAUGUGAAGCUAUGCAGGUGUGCUAGUGGACACAAAAACACUUAUGCAGAAAAGUGUGCUGAAUGUUCUGGUAGUUCCAAAAAGAAUCACAUAAAUAGUUGUGAAAUUUAAUAUUUUAAAGUUGUUUUAUGGGAAACAUGAUAUUUCAAAAAUAUAUUUGUUAAAUGACUUCACAAUUUACGAUGACGAGAGAAAAAUAAAAUAAAUACUUUAAUUAUACAUCAAAUCUAUCAUCAAAAUAACUCGACGAUGUGAAUCUAAUAAAAUUAAAGAAGUUCACCAAGUAGAUCACACUCAUUGAAGCUCUAAUUAUAAUAUCACUAGUAGCAUUAUAAAGUUCUGGACAAAAUAAAUCAAAUAUAAACAAUAAAGAUAAUCAAUGAUAAUGAUAAUUGAAGUGGGUCAUAUAUAAUAGGCGGAAAACAUGGUGAAAUCUAGGGUUAAGAUUAAAAAAGAUGAUGGAAGGGAAGAUGAAGGUGAAGAUGGAGAACAAUAAUCAGAUUAGCGAGAAGAACAGGUAUCAAAAUUCUGGAUGGAGAAGUUCCAGUUUUCCAGACUGCAACAGUAGAAAUGAUAAGAACACCUGCUAAGAAGGCCAGUAAUCUGUCGUGAAUGAAGAAAUUCAUGGAUGGUAGCAGCGAGAUUUAGCAUGAAGCAUUUAACUUGUUUUCUCUAUUGUAAUUCAUGUCGCUAGAGGUAAUAGAAUUGCACUUGUCUUGCCAGCAUUUAUAGAGAUAUGAAUCUGUUGAAAGGGAAAUUAAAUCGUAGAGUCAACCUUGUUGCGGAUUCCAAAGGGAAACCAUGAUGGUUUAACAGUUAAGCUUUGGUCAUCAAUGCAAUUGGUUCAGGUUGGGGUUUGGAAGAGGUUCGGUGAACUGCGGCGGCCGGAGCCUAAUCUGAUUAGGAGUGGGUACCCUAGGUUGGUUCGGUGGAACAAAUUGAAACUGGAAGUUGAGAAUGUUUCGUUGGUUCUAGACUCGGAUAAAGAGAGUUUUAGCUCUGGAAAACUGGGAUUUCCUCAAGUUUUAUGGAGAAAAAGAAAGGUGGGCCGGCGACUGUUGGUUCUAGUUUGAAAGACGAUUUAAUGGCAUUUGCUCGAGGCGUCAACGCUGUGUGGAGUUGGCUGUUCAGAACAGUAUUUACCUCAUAGGGUUGCAAUGCAAUUCGGAACCGACGAAGAUCUUUCAGGGUUGUGUUGGUCAAUGCUCUAAUUAACAGACCUGAGAUUGCAGAGAGCUUAAAGCUUUUGUUGAGAGCUUGAGCAGAUGAUCACACGAAUAAAAACAGCAAGAUUAAGACAAAAAUUGUUAACCUAGCUAGCCUUCUUCGUGAGAACGAUUUGCUUGAUUUUAUUUUAUUUGAAUUCAUGGCUUCUCUUCUCCUGUUGGCUAUGCUACUAACAUGGCAGGAGGCAUUGCAGCAGGUCCUAGAUGGAUAACUCCCGCCAUUAACAACAGAUGCAGAACAAGGUUAAAAGGAUAAUAGAAAUAAAUAUAUUCAUAAAGUAACCAUGCACUAUGGCAUGAAGUUAUUAUCACAGUGUGCAGACAAAUGCCGUGUGCUGCUGUACCCAACGCAGAGCCUACUAGGCGUUAUCUGUUCUGCCCACCCAAUCCUGACUAGAUAAGCACUUGAGAGUUUUUUUUCUUAUUUUAUGAAGUUGAUUUGAAGUGUUGAUUUGAUAUAAAAAUUUUAAGGAGAGAUAUUUUCCUUCAAAUAUUAAGACCAAUUUGAAAUUUGUAGAUUAACUUACAAAUUUUUAAUAAUUUUUAUUAAAAAUUAUCUUUUAUUUAUUUAUAUAAUAGUUUAAAUAAAAGCAAUAGAAACUAGUAGAAUUCAGCAUUAAUUAAAUUGAUUUAGAUUUAGAUAACUUUAUAAAUAUCAAAUCCAAAUAAAUUAUAACUAAUUUAAAAUCAAUCAAAUAUUAAAAGAAUUUUUUAAUAUUAAAACAAUGAUAUAUUAAAUCAAUCUAAAACUUUACACUUUAAUUUGUAAAACCCGUAACUUGAACCAUGAACUCCACUUGAAAAAUUAAAAAAAAUUAAAUUAUUAUGAUCAUCAAGCACAAACAACAAUAAUAAUUCAGGAUUUUUACUGAAAGUAGAAUCCAUCAUACAUGUUGUUGAUUAUUGAGUUAUAAUCGGUCCGUACAUGAAAAGGAAUGAAUUUAGAGUUAUUAAACUCUGUCGACCGGUGGAUGGACUGAUCUGGGUUUGUUAAAAGACCAACCGGUGCAAUGAUCCGGCAAAACCCAGUCAACCUGUAAGAUUCCACAUCGGGGGGUGAGGGGUGUGUUGCUGGCCUUAUAAGUGGUACUGGUUGCCGACUUGUUAUACGCGUUUUGGGACGUCAGGCUUAGAAUUAGGCUCGCGUCACCAGGAACAAAACCGUGAGGGCGGUAAGGCCUAAAGCGGACAAUAUAUGACAAGUUGGGCCGGGCCGUUACACGACCCGUGACCCAGAUAAAACCCGAAUUUUUUUUUUUAAAAUGUGGUUUUUCUUCUACACUCCCUUUUUUAUUUUUAUUUUAGUUGGUUAUUAACACUUUUUAAAGUUCACUAUAUAAAUACUAGAAAUAUAUAUUUUUUUUUCAAUGUGGGAUUGAAACCCUUUAGAAUAUACUUUAUGUUUCCAAGAAAAAAGUUAUUUUUUUAAUGUAAGAUUUCAAGCCCUUUCAUAUAUAUACUUUAUGAUCAUAAGAAAAAAGUUGUGUUUUUUUAAAGUGAGAUAUAAAACCCUUUAGUACAUAUACUCUAUGUUCCUAAGAAAAAAGUUUUUUCAAUAUGUGAUUUGAAGCCUUUUCGUAUAUAUACUCUAUAUUCACAAGAAAAAUAUUAUGUUUUUUCAAUGCGGGAUAAUAAGUUUUUUGGUUUAAAUAUUUCAACUUAAAAGGAUGACAUAAUAUAUUUUCAAUGUGAGAUUUGAAACUCUUUAAUAUAUAUAUAUAUACACACCUAUGUUUCCAAAAAAAAAAUUAUUUUUUUAAUGUGGGAUUUGAAGUCUUUUCAUAUAUAUAUCAUAUCGUCACAAAAAAAAAUUAUAUGUUUUUUAAUGUAAGCUUUAAAAAUUUUAUUAUACUUUACAAUCUUCCAAAAAAAAAAAAGUUUUGGAUUAAUCCAAUUAACCUGUCUACCUUUGUAGCUGAUUUAAUAACUUUGGGAUGUAAGGAAUAUCUAAAAUAGUCUUAGAACAACUCACAUUUGUUUGCUAUCGAUUUGAAAAGUGAAAGUUGCUCUCUCGUAAUGUCUGCUUUUAAAAUCAAAAGAAUCUAACAUUAAAUGCGGGGUAUUGUUGCCGUUGCAUAUUUUUAUUUUCUGUUUUAUAAAACUAAAAACAGUUUUUUUCAUAAUUUUCAGGUUUUUUCAUUUUGUUUUAAUGACCCCAGUUAACGUGUUUGAGCGUAAUUGUGUUUGAUUUUGAAAAUUUUUUUUACUCAGAAAGUAUGUUAUUUUUAAAAAAAUUAUUUUUAAAAUCAACACAUCAAAAUGAUUUGAAAACAUUAAAAACAUAUUAAUUUAAAAAAAAAAUUAAAUUUUUAAAAAUACUUAUACAGUGCCAAACAUGUUAUCACCACCUUUAUUUUCCCAUAUUUAGAAGUUAUUUAAAAAACAGAAACCAAAGAUACAAAACGGCAACCAUGACCAUGCCAGGGCUAAACAAAAGCUCUACAAGACCAAUCCACGAGAGUUAAACUCCAUUUAAUCAAGAUUUGAAUGUGCUGGGCAAUGAAAGCCCACGAUUAUAUAAAAUAAUAAAAAAAAAAAAAUCAAAGAGUGGAAUGCUUGACUAUAACUGUAAAACCAAGCCUAGUCCAAUAAAUCCAUGUAAAAAUCCGAUAAUUCAGAACCUAGAUUAAUUUGCUCAAUGAUCAUGAUUUAUGACCUAAUCAAUUUAAUUACAUUAAAGCUGAACAUGAUUUAGUCAAGAUUUAUCCUAGUUAAAAGAAAAAAAAAUUCCAUAAAAUCUUAACCUGAGAAUCGAGGUCAUUUUCUUCGAGCAAGCAACGAAUCUCAAACAAAAAAAAAAAAUACACUAGGUGAAAUCAUCAGCCCUCAACCUAGAUAUGUGUUGGAAUUCGUCUUCCCUUAAUAUCCUUCUUCCUUUGAUGAAGUUUUCAUUUGAUUAAGGAUUUGUGUUCUCUGUUCCAAGUUGAAUGUUUUGAGUGACAAUACAUACUAGGUGAAUUGCCAGGUGAUGCCGCCGGUUGUUAUAUAAACACGAUGUAAGCAUUCGGUUGAGUAUAACCGGCGGUACUCGAAGAAGAAGACACGCAGACAAAUUAAACAAAAUGAAAAAAAUAAUACCAGAAGUAUUGAGGUUAAACAAUGCAACCACGUGAUUUAUGUUAGAGAAACGUAAAGUGUUAACUAGCUUGUUUAGAUUUGCAGUAUUCGGUUGUUUUUUUUUAUUUUUAUUUAAUUUAUUUUUAAUAUUAAUUAUUAAUUUUAAAAUAAAAAAAUUAAUUAAAAAAUCAUUUUUUUUACUAAAAAAUAGUGUGGCUUCAAUAACAAACAGUUUGGAAAAGUCUCAAAUACAAAGCCACACGUGCAUAACAAAUCGUAAUUAACUUGAAGGUGUCAAGAUCUGAACUCUGAGCUUUGGGAGGUUAGUAGGAAUGUCGAGGGCAUUUGGAGGCAGAAAUCCCGCCAAAACUGGUGCAAAAUGGGGAUAAAAACACUCGGUUCUUCCAUCUUUCGACAAGCUUGAGGAAUGGUCGGAACCACAUUAGCAAGAUUGAGCAGAAUGGCAGAUUUUUUAGACUCUCCCAAAUGACAUCAAAGAGGGGUGCUGUCAACUUCUUCUCAAGUCUGUUUGCCAAGCCACAAUGAAGAGAAUUGAAAUGGGAGACUCAAGGUUUCUCUAAAUUUCAGAGAAAGUUCAGUUUGGUUAGAAAGACUACCUUCAUUGGAGGAAGUGAAGCAAGCCGUAUGGGAUUGUGAUGGUUCAAAAGCCCCGGUCCUGACGGGUUCACCUUCUCCUUCUAUAAAAAGGAAUGGAAUCUUAUCAGCCCUGACAUCUUUGUGAUGGUCACAGAAUUUUUCAGAACAGGUAAAUUACCAAAGGGGAUCGGCUCGUCCUUCGUGACUUUGAUCCAAAGACCAAGAGGCCGAGCACUUUCUCCCAAUUUCGACCAAUUAGUUUGAUUCAUGGGUUAUAUAAAAUAGUGGCAAAGCUCUUGUCCACUAGGCUCCGAAGCAUUCUACCAGAUGUGAUAAGUGUAAACCAGUCUGCUUUCAUUGCGGGCGUCAGAUUCUAGAUGGGUUCAUGAUAGCAAACGAGGUUGUCCAUAGUAUUCGUAGCAAAAGGACCACGGGUUUUUGCUAAAGGUAGAUUUUCAUAAAGCCUUCGACUCGAUUUUAUGGGAGCAUAUCGAUUCUACCAUGGGUUAUAUGGGUUUUGGAUCUCACUGGAGGAAACUGAUCUUUGAAUGCAUGUCCACUUCUAAAUUGGCCAUCCUGAUUAAUGGCUCACCAAGCAGAGAAUUCAGUAUGGAGAGGGGUCUCAGGCAAGGGGACCCCCUCUCUCCUUUCCUUUUUGACAUAGCAGUUCAGGGGUAACAGUUCUAUUCAACAGGGCAUCAGAUUCAGGUUACUUUAAAGGUUUGCAGACUUCGCAAGGACAUCACAUAACCCAUUUGCAAUAUGCAGAUGACACUCUUAUUUUCCUGCCAAUGAUUAUACCUCUCUACUGCAUGUCAAGAGGAUCCUCCGCUGGUUUGAGAUCAUUUCAGGACUGAAAGUUAAUUUCUAUAAAAGCUCACUUAUAGGAAUUAAUUUGGAUAACGAAUACACUUCAGGUCUGGCUAACACAAUUUUGUCGCAGUGACUCCUUUCCCAGUCAGAUACCUUGGGUUGCCUCUUGGUGCUAACCCAAAUAGGCUCUCCACUUGGAAACCGGUAUUGUCCACAAUCAGAGCAAAGUUAAGCAAAUGGAAAGGGAAGUUUUUGAGCAUGGCCGGAAGGAUAUGUCUUAUUAAAUCUGUCUUAAACUCUCUACCUCUAUACUAUAUGUCGGUCUUUACUAUGCCAAAGGGCAUUGCAAAAGCAAUAUCCUCAAUCACCGUUUUUUCUCUGGAAGGGCUCCUCAAAUUCACAUGGUAUUUGUAAGGUUGCUUGGCAUAAGGUAAUUAAGAGUAAGCCACUUGGAGGUCUCGGGCUUGGUUCUAUUCACAGUAAAAAUCUGGCUCUGAUGUUUAAAUGGCUUUGGAACCUUGACAAAGGAGUGGCAGGAGGUUGGCAAGAACUCAUCUUACGAAAGUACCGGCCACAUUUUACAAAUGGCCUUCCUGUGUUUGCAGGUUCUUUAUCUCCAACUUGGCGUGGCAUGGUAUCUGCAAUUUCCUUAAAUCACAGCAUAGCCGCUCCCAUCCAAUCCAAUGUUGGGUUUAAGGUGGGUGAUGGGAGAAACAUCAGGUUUUGGUCUGAUUCUUGGCUAGGCUAUGCAGCCCCUCUCCAGUUCAUGUUCCCUAGGCUCUACAACCUCUCCCUGCAGCAAUCUUUAAGCGUUGCAGAAGUUCAUAACCCAACAGAUAACUCAAUCAAUCUUUCUUGGAGAAGACCCCUUCGAUCCCGAGAACUCUGCAUGUGUGAAAGCUUGAUAGCAGAAGUGGAACGUGGCCUAGUCUUCUCUGAUGGUGAAGACAACAAGAUUUGGAAACACCAUAGCUCCAACAAUUACACAGUCUCCUCUGGGUGCCAUCUCUUUGACGGUUUAAAUGUUUCAGGACAUCUUCACUCCCCUGCUUUGCUUUGGAAAGGGUUUGCGCCUCCAAAAAUAGAUGUGUUCAUAUGGCUUCUUUUCAAUGGCAGUGUCUGCACAAAGGGUUUCUUAGCUGAGAGGAGAAUCAUCAAUUAUGAGGAAGCUCUUUGUCCUUUCUGCUGCAAGGAGAUUGAGACUAUACAUCAUCUCUUCCAUCUUUGUCCAAAAUCAUGGUCUCUUUGGGGCAGACUAUUUAGUUGGUUUGGGUGUGUAGGUUGUCUGCCAAAAGACCAUAUGAUAACCUUCAGGAAUGGUCCAACAUGGUAAAAAGGAAAAUUUCAGCGUCAGGCAAUUACCCUUCUCUGUAAAGGAUUAUACUGGUCAAUUUGGAUAGCGCGCAACCACAUGAUCUUUGACAACAAAACUCCAGACUGGGAUGUGAUUUUUGACCUCACCUUUCAUCAGUUAGCCUUUUGGUUGAAGUCCUUUGUUAAAAAUUUCAGCUAUAUAAGCUCUGAUCUUUAUAGGAAUCCUGAAUGUAUCAUGAACUGGACUAACUAGUCAGGUCUAUAGAUUCCUUGUUUUCUUAAUGUUUUUUUAAUUCCCCAUGUAAUCUUCCUUAGCAGCCCUCAUCUCUUUAAUGGGGACGUAUUAUUUAUAAUAUUCUCGAUUACUAUAUAUAUAAAAAAAACUUGAAGGUGUCACCCAAUUAAUUAGAUUUUUAGUUUGCUUUCGAGAUAUUAGUAGUUCGAGUUCUGUAAAUCUUAAAAUUACUAGAGGUUUAUUUGGUUGUUACCUUCAGAGCCUGAACCUCUAGAAAUUAGUCGAGUUACACGUAAACUGACUUUUAUUUUUAAUUUAGUCUCUCAUUGUUUUUUUCAUUUAACUUUUAUGCUAGAUUUAGUCAUUGUUGUUUCGAUUGCUAUUUAUUUUAUUUUUAAAUUUUGGAUGAUUAAGGAUUAUGCUUAGUGAUUUUUUAUUAUUUGCCUUUAAUGAUAUAAUCUCGAUCUAAUGAACCGGGUUACUAUUUCGAGGAUUAAUUCGAUUUCACUUUGGUUUUUUAUUUAUUUUUUUAAACAAAAUAAUUACUUUUUAAUUUCAUCAUUUGAUUUUAGGUUAUUAGGUCUAAAUUUUUUUUUUCUCCUUUAUGUGGUGUUAUUCUGGUGUUAUAUCUUAGGUUGAGUGUUUUUCGAGAUAACUCAGGUUUUUUUUAAUUUAGUUUAUUUAGUUUAUUUUAUUUAAUUUUUUAAUAUUAAAUUAUUGAACCUUAAAAUUUAUAUUUUGUUUUGUAUUUUUUUUAUAAGUUUAACAUGAUCUUAAUGUCGUUGUUUAUUUUUUAAAUUAAUUUUUUUAAUCUGGAACUCCCAUCAUGGGUCGCAUGGUAGUCCAACUAAUCUGAGUUAAGUUAAAGUUUUUUCAAAUUUUUUUUUUUUACCAGUCGCACUGUGUAGCGUAAAACUAAAAGUUGUAUCAGAAGAAAUGUGUAGGACAUGUGUAGGUCGGCUAAUGCUGGCCAUAAAUAGCCAUGUCUGUGAAGCUAUGCAGGUGUGCUAGUGGAGACAGAAACACUUAUGCAGAAAAGUGUGACGUAUGUUCCGGUAGUUCCAAAAAGAAUCAGAUAAAUAGUUGAGAAAUUUAAUAUUUUAAAGUUGUUUUAUGGGAAACAUGAUAUUUCAAAAAUAUAUUUGUUAAAUGACUUCACAAUUUACGAUGACGAGAGAAAAAUAAAAUAAAUACUUUAAUUAUACAACAAAUCUAUCAUAAAAAAAACUCGACCAUGUGAAUCAAAUAAAAUUAAAGAAGUUCACCAAGUAGAUCACACUCAUUGAAGCUCUAAUUAUAAUAUCACUAGCAGCAUUAUAAAGUUCUGGACAAAAUAAAUCAAAUAUAAACAAUAAAGAUAAUCAAUGAUAAUGAUAAUUGAAAUGGGUCAUAUAUAAUAGGCGGAAAACAUGGUGAAAUCUAGGGUUAAGAUUAAAAAAGAUGAUGGAAGGGAAGAUGAAGGUGAAGAUGAAGAACAAUAAUCAGAUUAGCGAGAAGAACAGGUAUCAAAAUUCUGGAUGGAGAAGUUCCAGUUUUCCAGACUGCAACAGUAGAAAUGAUAAGAACACCUGCUAAGAAGGCCAGUAAUCUGUCGUGAAUGAAGAAAUUCAUGGAUGGUAGCAGCGAGAUUUAGCAUGAAGCAUUUAACUUGUUUUCUCUAUUGUAAUUCAUGUCGCUAGAGGUAAUAGAAUUGCACUUGUCUUGCCAGCAUUUAUAGAGAUAUGAAUCUGUUGAAAGGGAAAUUAAAUCGUAGAGUCAACCUUGUUGCGGAUUCCAAAGGGAAACCAUGAUGGUUUAACAGUUAAGCUUUGGUCAUCAAUGCAAUUGGUUCAGGUUGGGGUUUGGAAGAGGUUCGGUGAACUGCGGCGGCCGGAGCCUAAUCUGAUUAGGAGUGGGUACCCUAGGUUGGUUCGGUGGAACAAAUUGAAACUGGAAGUUGAGAAUGUUUCGUUGGUUCUAGACUCGGAUAAAGAGAGUUUUAGCUCUGGAAAACUGGGAUUUCCUCAAGUUUUAUGGAGAAAAAGAAAGGUGGGCCGGCGACUGUUGGUUCUAGUUUGAAAGACGAUUUAAUGGCAUUUGCUCGAGGCGUCAACGCUGUGUGGAGUUGGCUGUUCAGAACAGUAUUUACCUCAUAGGGUUGCAAUGCAAUUCGGAACCGACGAAGAUCUUUCAGGGUUGUGUUGGUCAAUGCUCUAAUUAACAGACCUACGAUUGCAUAGAGCUUAAAGCUUUUCUUGAGCAGAUGGUCACACGAAUAAAAACAGCAAGAUUAAGACAAAAAUUGUUCACCUAGCUAGCCUUCUUCGUGAGAACGAUUUGCUUGAUUUUAUUUUAUUUGAAUUCAUGGCUUCUCUUCUCCUGUUGGCAUUGCAGCAGGUUCCUAUAUGGAUAACUCCCGCCAUUGACAACAGAUGCAGAACAAGGUUAAAAGGAUAAAAGAAAUAAAUAUAUUCAUAUAGUAACCAUGCACUAUGGCAUGAAGUUAUUAGCAUUUAUCACAGUGUGCAGACAAAUGCCGUGUGCUGCUGGACCCAAUGCAGAGUCUACUAGGCGUUAUCUGUUCUGCCCAUCCAAUCCUUACCAGAUAAGCACUUGAGAGUUUUUUUUUUUAUUCUAUCCCGUUGAUUUGAAGUGUUGUUUUGAUAUAAAUUUUUUAAGGAAGAGAUAUUUUUCUUUAAUAUUAAUACCAAUUUGAUAUUUGUAUUUUUGUUUAAUAAUUUUAUUUUUUAAAAAUAUCUUUUAUUUGUUUAUAUAAUAAUUUAAAUAAAAGCAAUAGAAACUAGUAGAAUUCAGCAUUAAUUAAAUAUUGUGAUGAUGUUUGAUUCAUGUUGUGAUAACUUUAUAAAUAUUAAAUUAAAACAAAUUAUGAUGACUAAUUUAAAAUUAAUUAAUUAUUAAAAGAGUUUUUUAAUAUUAAAACGAUGAUAUAUUAAAUCAAUCUAAAUUUUACGGUUUAAUUUAUAAAACCCAUAACUUGAAUCAUGAACUCUACUUGAAAAAUUAAAAAAAACAUUAAGGUUGUUAUGAUGAUAAAGCACAAACAACAAUUAUAAUUCAAGAUUUUGACUAAAAGUGGAAUCCAUUAUACAUGAGUAUUGAUUAUUGAGCUAUAACCAGUCCGUAUAUGAAAAGGAAUGAAUUUAGCAAAGUUAUUAAACUCGGUCGACCUAGUGGCUGGACUGGUCUGGGUUUGUUAAAAGACAAAUCAGUGCAAUGACCCGGCAAAACCUGGUCAACCCAUGACCUGGAUGAGACUCGACAUUUUUUUUUUUCAAAUGUGGUUUUUCUUUUAUAACUUUUUUUUUCAUAUUUUUUUAGUUGGUUAUUAACACUUUUUAUAGUUCACUAUAUAAAUACUAGAAAAAUAUUUUAUUUUUUCAAUGUGGAAUUUGAAACCCUUUAGUAUAUACUCUAUGUUCCCAAGAAAAAAAAUUAUUUUUUUAAUGUGGGAUUUCAAGCCCUUUCAUAUAUAUAUAUUUUAUGUUCAUAAGAAAAAAAUUAUGUUUUUUCAAAGUGAGAUUUGAAACCAUUUAGCAUAUACACUCUAUAUUUCUAAGAAAAAAGUUGUUUUUUCAAUAUGUAAUUUGAAGUUCUUUCGUAUAUAUACUCCAUGUUCACAAGAAAAAUGUUAUGUCUUUUCAAUAUGGGAUAACAAACGUUUUGGUUUAAAUACUUCAACUUAAAAGGAUGACAUAAUAUCUUUUCAAUGUGAGAUUUGAAGCCCUUUAAUAUAUAUACCUAUGUUCCUAAGAAAAAAAAUUAUUUUUUCAAUGUAGGAUUUGAAGUCCUUUUGUAUAUAUGCUCUAUUUUCACAAGAAAAAAGUUAUGUAUUUUUCAAUGUAAGAUUUGAAACUUUUUAUUAUACUUUAUCUUUACAAAAAAAUAAAUUUAAAUUAAUCCAAUUAACCUGUCUACCUUUAGAGCUGAUUUAAUAAUUUUGGGAUGGAAGGAAUAUUUAAAAUAGUCUUAGAACAAGUCACAUUUGUUUGCUAUCGAUUUGAAAAGAGAAAGUUGCUCUCUCGUAAUGUCUAGUUUUAAAAUCAAAAGAAUCCAACAGAAAACGGCAACCAUGACCAUGCCAAAAGGGCUUAAACAAAAGCUCUACAGGAUCAAUCCACGAAAGUUAAACUCCAUUGAAUCAAGAUUUGAAUGUGCUGGGCAAUGAAAGCCCACAAUUAUAUAAAAUAAAAAAAUAAAAUUCAAAAAGAGUACUGGAAUGCUUGACUAUAACUGUAAAACCAAGCCAAGUCCAAUAAAUCUAUGUAAAAAUGUGAUAAUUCAGAACCUAGAUUAAUUGCUAGCUCAGUUGAUGAUCACGAUUUAUGACCUAACCAAUUUAAUUACAUUAAUGCUUACCAUGAUUUAGUCAAGAUUUAUCCUAGUCAAAAGAAAAAAGAAAUUCCAUAAAAUCUUAACCUGAUAAUCGGGGUCAUUUUCUUCGAGCAAGCAACGAAUCUCCAUAAAAUUUUAAACAUAAUUAGUGUAUAGAUUAAUUGGAAUCUUACCAAACAUAUAUAUAUAGAUCCUUCUAGCAUUUUGUCUUUAUUUGUAGUCUCCCUGCAUUUUGUAGUAGCAUGUCAUAUAUAUAUAUAUAUAUAUAUAUAAUUUGUACCAGAUGAAACAAAACAAUUCUCAAUACGUGGUGUUAUUAUACUUGAGAAUGAUUUAAAAGAUUGGGUCACAGGUUUCCAGCCUAUAUACUGAUUUUAUUAAAAGAACGAAGAAAUAAAUGCAAGUAAAUGUAAACAGAUUUCUGAUGCGAAUGAACAAGGCAAGACCAAUAAUGUCAGGAUCCUUGAUCAAACACAGAGCAUACUUAAUAAAGUAUAACAAGAAUUUAAAUGAUGAAAAUAAAAUGUUACUUAAAUUUGUAAUGUAAAUCAAUACAAGAGAUAUUGAUUAUAGAGGAGAGUGGAUAUGGGUUACAGGUAUGAGUUACAAGGGAGAAUAAAAUUUUCUCAGGGAAAAUGAUAGUCUGCCUUCUGAGGAUUUAAAAGUCCCCUUUUAUAGACGAGUUGACAUGGAAGAGGCCAAAAUGUGUUGUUGGGAAAGCUUGGAGAUUCCGUCAGAACCCAUGUGAACCCAUGUGGUAUUGCCUACCAUGAUUGGGUGAAGACAAAAUAAAAAAUGCCCAUGUUUUUUGUGGGACUUUCAUCUGUUGUCUUCUUGUCAUCGACACUGGAUUUGUUUGUUUGUAGUAGCAUGUGAUAUUUGUAAGAAAAAGCCUAAACCAAAUGGGCUUAAAGUUAAAAAGGACUCAAAACAGUUGAGUCGAAAAGAUAUGGGCUCUAAAGAGAUGAGCCUGAGAAAGCCUGAAAUACUCCUUUUUUUUAAUGUCGCUUGAUAGGUGGUAGGAUACCAAAACAGUCAUCUUCAUUAUCAUCUCCAAGGAAAAUGGUAGGAGAUAUCGAUCCAGAUGAGCUGGAUUGAGACAAGACCGUUUUCGGGUCUUGGCUUUGUAUAAUGCUUUGGACUAUUUGUGUGUAUUCUUCUUCAGUUCUAGUAGAGGCAAGAAGAGCUGUUGUUUGAGCCUUUCGGGCUAGAAACUUUGAUUGAGGAUGAUGAUCAAUGAUGGGAGCUGUUUGAUGUUUUUGUAACCAUUCCGUAACAGCUAAUUUGGAACUUUUGGAUUCAGUUGCAAAAGAAUCCCACCAUUUGAUUUUGAACUUGCGAACAAGUACUGGAUGUUCGUUUUGUAGAUUAUAAUCAUAAAACCAUGAACAUACCCAUGGCACAAAAAAAUUUGUAUAGAAAAUGAGAAGGGAAGAGAACUUCCUUUCAUAAGGAGCUAGUUAAAAUUUAUUUUUGAAAUGGAGGUAACCGUUUUCAACUAGAGGAUGGUCUUUGAGGUAGUCAACAUGACAACCAUAGUAGUCCCACCAUUGGAGGAACCAGAGUGGGAGGUUUGUAGUAUUCAUGUCAUUAUGGAAGUAGAAAAGCCAAGAAUGACUAUGGUUUGGAUUUUGUGGUAGGAAGGCAUUGAACCAUGCAUGUUGGUAAUCCCAGUACGUAUAGGAAAUAUUGAAGUCCUGGGGUUUGUACGGAAAUGUAUGGGGAAUGAGAGAGGUUGAUGUAAGGGUUGUCCCCAAUCUUUAGGGUGAAUGACUUUGUGAAUGAUACAUGUAGAAUAUGCCGGUUCUGUGUGAUCAGAAUGAAGUUUGAAGUAUUUGAACUUGACAGAAUUGGUAAUUUCAAGUAUUGUAGCAUAAUAGGAUUAUGGUUUGUCUAAAUUCCAGGGUUUGUAGUACCAAUGUGAAGGGAAAAUUUUGGAAGCAGUAAUGGAAGGGUUUUCAUGAUAAAAUCCUUCUUCCAUAGUUAAAAUAUUUUGGAAAGUAGUUUUGAAAAUAUAUUUGGAUUUGGUUUUGGGAAACUGGUUUGUUGUAAAGAAAGGAGGGGUUUUGAAGCAAAAAGGCCUCCUUGAGGUUUUGAAAAUGAUUUGGAAAUGCUACCUGUUUGAGAUAUAGAGUCAGUGGAGGCCUGUUGAGACACUUUUUGUAAUGCCAAGAGUAAUUUUGGUGAUUUGGAUAUAGUGUCAACCCAAUAUUGAACUGCGUCUGUUUGUACAUGUGGUGGUUUUAUAGUUUCUUCUUCUUCAAUAACUAUCUCAUACCAGGAUUUGAUGGGUUUGACAGCUAAGAUAAUUGAAGACAUGAGUUUUGUAGAAGGCUUGGGGCUCUCUGAUUUUAUAAGUUGGGUUUGAGGGGCUUUCCCCUUGUCUUUGGCCUUUGCUUUAGGAGGCAUCAAUACCUGUUUUGAAGGAAUUCUCGGGUUAGGAAAUCAGAAUGGAAUUUGAAUCUCCUUUAAUGUAGACAAUAUCGAAAUAAAAAAUACUUAAAAUAGCUUGCCAUCUAGCAAAAAUCUGUUUUGAAGCAAGAUUUUGGACAUCUUUUUGUAGAACUUUUUUUGCAAAUUUGCAGUCAACACGUGAAAGAAAUUUUUGAUUUAAUAAAUCACUUUGAAAUUUUGUAAUACAAAGAACAAUUGAAAGGAUCUUAUUUUUUAUAGUAGAGUAAUUUUUAUGGCAAUCAUUCCAGUUGGCGGAUGUGUAUUGGGGGAUUUGUUCUUUGUCAUCUUGUACUUGUUUAAGAAUCCCACCAUAUCUUAGGUUAGAGGCAUUGGUCUCGACAAUUUCAGGAGCUAACGGGUUAGCUAAAUGGAGGAGAGGAAUAGUUUGGACCUUUUUCUUAAUCUGUUUGACUAGGUCGGUAUGGAGAUCGAACUAAGGAAUGAGGUUUGUUCGUAACCUGUCAUGUAAAGGUUUGGCUAGACCGCUAAUACUUGGAUAGUAGUUUAGAACAUAAUUAAGACUGGUUAAAAACCUUUGCAAUUGGGUUUUAUCGGUGAUCUUAUCAGGAAAUUUAUUUAUAAGGGUUAGAGACCUUUCUAUUGGUGUUACAGUACCUUGGAAAAUAUAAUGGCCUAGGAAAUGGACACGAGUUUGGAAGAGAGAAAAUUUUGUUUUAGAAACAACUAACCAUUUUGUUUUGCAGUAUGAAAGGAAGUAUGUAGAUGUUUGAAAUGUUGAUCUAUAAAAUGUAAAAAAAUAAGCACAUUGUCAAUGUAAACAAUGCAGAACUUUGAAUGUGCAUUGAAGAUGUUAUUCAUGAUGUGUUGAAAUUCAGAUGAUGUAUUUUUUUAGGCCAAAUGGCAUGACAUUCCAUUUGUAUUGGCCAAAAGGAACUGUAAAAGCAGUUUUGUAUCUAUCUUUGGGAUCAAUCUGGAUUUGCCAAAAUCCAGAUUUCAUAUCGAACUUAGAAAAUAUGAAUGCAGAGUGCAAUUUUUGUAACAAAUCUUUUUUGUUGGGGAUUAGAUAUCUGAUCCAUUUGAGAGCAGAAUUUAAAAGUUUGUAAUUGAUCACAAGUCUUGGUGUGCCUUUUUCGAUUUCAGAGUUUUUAUUCACAUAAAAGGCUGCACACAACCAGGGUGAUCGAGACUUUUGGAUAAGACCUUUUGACUCGCGAUCGUGGAUUUCAAGUCUGCAAUGUUGUUCUAAAUUAACAUUCAUUUGGAUAGGUCUUGCUUUUGUAGGUAUAAGUUUUUUUGAAAAAAUAUCUUCAUAUGGAAGAUCAAAGAUGUGUUGUUUUCUUUUUCAAAAAGCAUUAGGUAAGUCUGAACAGAUUUGUUGUUCAAUCUUAUUUUGUAAAUCAAGGAUUUUCUUUUUUAAAUCAGAGUUUUGUAAUUCUUUGUUUAUACGACAAAAAGAAACACGGUUUUGCAAAUCAUGGAAAUGGAAUUGUUUUCCAUGAAUCUGUGCAUUGAUAUGAUAAGUAUGUAUGGAGCAUGCUCUAAUCAAAUUUAAAUUUCUAGUCUUAGAUUUCUCUAAGAAUGGGAAAACAAGUUUGAUGCUAUUGAUUUUGGAAGUAAUACAAUUAUGAUGUGCCUGAUAUGGAGUGAUCUUGUGAAUGAAUAGAGUGCCAAGAAUGAUGGUAUGAUUAAUAAGUUUUUGUAACAACAAAGAAUGUUUUAAGAGAAAUGCCUUUGUUGAAAACAUAGGCUUGAGUUUUGCCUGUAAUAUGUAAUUUUAAAUUAUUAGCAGCAGAGAGUUGUUCAAAGGUAUUUUGUAAAAAUCAUUUUGGAGCCACGCCUUCUUUGAUGCAUUUCAAAUAUGCACCUGUGUCAAAUAAGGUAAUAGUGUCAAGUUUGAAAUCUUAUAAGAAAAUGAGAGUAAUUCUAAUUAAAUAUUUUUUGGAAGAUAUUUGUGUUAAUACGUUAAGGAAAUCAUCUAGAAUAUGCUCAAUAUUUGUAAGUGCAUGUGGCAAUGCAUGAGAUUCGAUGGUUUAAUCUUCUGUAUCAGACUUAGUAUCAGACUAGCUUUCAAUUCUGGACAGGAGAUGUUGUAAUAUGGCAGUCUUUUUGUUGGGCUUGUUUGAGGGUUUGUAAUUCGGAUUUGAGGGUUUUGAUCUCAGAAUGUAAUUCUGGAAUGGUGACAGUGGUUUUGGAUUUCUUUUUGUUAAGGAUCUUUGUAAGGUCAUAUGUACUAGUGCUGGUAGAGGGUAAUAUAGAGCGGUUUGGAGGGUUUGAUGGAAAGUGCUCUGGUUGGUUGAAAUCUUUCAAUAACUUAUCUAAGUAGGUUUUUUGAAGUUGAGGAUCAUCAAGUCUUUUGAUAACCUCAAGAAUGAAUUUCUGGUCUUGGGUUAAGAUGUUAAUUUGUUUGAAAUUUAUAGAGGCAUCUGAAGUAGCCCUGGUAGUUGCUAUUUUAUCGAUUUGAAAUUCUUCUUCAGAAGUGUCUGAAGGAGAGUGGUAUUUGGUCAGUGGCUUCAAUGUAAAGAUUUUGUAUUUGGUUGAUAAUAUCUUCAUCUAUUUGGAACUCAUGAAGUUUGGUAUUAACUUUGCAGAAACAAGAUGUAUGUCCUUUCUGGUUACAUUUGUAACAAAUAAUGUUUUUAAGGUCAAAUUUUGAUUUGGGUUUUGACUGGAAAGGUCUACAGGGUUUGGUAAAUUUAUAGGACUUUUUAUAGUAAGGUUGAUCUGGUUUGGAAUAAAACUAUUUUCAUCGGUCGACAAGCUCCUCUCUUUAUCCACUCAGUCUUGAAAAGUAUCUAAGCUAAAUUCAGUUAUAUUUUCAUGUUCCAAUUAAAUAUUUUAUUAUUAUUAUUAUUAUUCCCAAAGGAAAAUGUUUUUCUUUUUAUCAAGCAUGUGUAUCCAAUCAUGAUUUUAUAAGAAAAAUAAGAAUAAGAGAUCUUUUAGAUAGAGCUGGACAUAAAUGUUGGCUAGGUAAAUGUUUUGUUUGAAUCCUGUAGACCAUUCCUAUGAGGAUGGUGAGAGGAGGGCUCCAAUUCGUAGAAAAAAAACGAUUCCUUGAGGUUAUCCUGCACAUGGAGAAAAAAAGUAGAAAAUAGAAUUUGAAACAGAAAGUUGAGAAUGUUUCCGUUGGUUCUAGACUCGGGAAAAGAGAGUUUUAGCUCUGGAGAACUGGGAUUUCCUCAAGUUUUAUGGAGAAAUCCCAGUUUUUGGUCAAUGCUCUCAUUAACAGACCUGAGAUUGCAUAGAGCUUAAAGCUUUUCUUGAGCAGAUGAUCACACGAAUAAAAACAGCAAGAUUAGGACUAAAAUUGUUAACCUAGCCUUCUUCGUGAGAAUGAUUUGGAUGAUUUUGUUUGCUUUGCUAGUUAUGUUAGCAACUCAAGCUUGGCUUUGACAAAUGAAGCAGAUGAAAGUGUUUGGGCUUUAAGCUUUUCAUGACCACCCCGCCGGAGAUUGAAUUCAUGGCUUCUCUUCUUCUGUUGGCUCUGCUACUAACAUGGUAGUAGAGCUUUCGACUGUCAGGCAUGGCGUCAGUACCGCAAAGAGAGGCUGCCCCCCCCUUGAAGUUGAAUAUGACUCAUCGGAAGCUCUUCGAUGCCAGUCUUCACAUCAAAAUUGCUAGUUUAACUCAUCAAAAUUGUUAUUUGUAUCUCUAACAGUUUAAUAUUUUUAUUUAUUUUUAUUUAAUUAGAUAAUAAUAAAAAUGAAAAUUUAUAAAAUUAAAUAUUUGAUUGAAAGUGUAAUAACUUUAUAAAAUAAUAAAUUAUAAUAACAAAAAAAAAUUGCUAUGAUGAAGAGUCACCAUAAUAUUUUUCAAUUCUAAAGAGAGCAGUAUAUAAUUCUUGAAGGGACAGUAUGAAAACGACAAUAAUAAUUAAAGAUUUUUGUGAAAAUUAAAUUUAUUAUAUAUGCUGUUGGUUCUGUUUUAUUUAUAAAAAAAAUAUAUUUAAAUAUUUAAAGGAGUUAUUUGAAAAAAAAAUAUAGGCCCACGAGGGGUGGGCUGGUUUAAAUUUCUGGCGUUAUCGUACGAUUACACGCGAAAAUCUACCAAGCUCGGGCGGACGGAAGAUUUGAUGUUGAUUACAGAUCCGACCCUGUAUAAAUUAACUUCUAUCGUGAAGAGCCCUAGUCAUUGUAAACACAACUUUCAAUUUCAAUAGAAAGGAGGAAGUCAGUCAAUACGGGUGUCUGCAGCUAUGGAUUCGAUCAAGCCUUUAGCCCCGAGCCGCCGCGUUUCCAAGUCCAAACACAGGAAACAAUGGGUACGAAUCAAAUCUAGUUAUAUUUCUAUGUUUUUCUUAAAAAAAAGAUUAUUCUUAAUGCUUGUUUCUUGACUGGUUGUUGCUGUAUAUCAUGUCAUUAUCCCCAGAAAUUAAAAAUAAUAGUUGUUCUUAUACAUGUUUAGAAGAACAGAGAGAGGAGGGAAACAAUGGAACGAUUGAAAACAGAUAUGAUCGAGAUCGGUGAGGGACAACAACGCAUCAGAGAAGGGCAACGAGAAAUAAGACAAAAGUUUGAAGAGAUAGGAUCUGAAUGCCGCAGGCUCAAAGAGGAGACGAUGAACAUUGCCAAGCAGAGUGAUUACAACCAAAUCAAGAUAAACCUAAUGUUUAGCAUCUUGAAAGCCCGUGAGGACAACAACUUUGCCCAUGCUGAUCACCUUACUGGGCUCCUCCGGUUGGUUAAAUUCUCUUCGCCAUUUCUUUUCUUAAUUCUUGGGAUUCCGGAUUUCAUAAUUAAUCUUGCUAAUGCUAGCUAUUACUAGCAGGGAAACAUAAGUUAACGAACUCAAAAUAAA